UUGGUGUUACCUCCCCCUCUUCCGCCGUCCUUUCCUGUUCAGGGUUCCGUUCCGAUCCUUUCCAUGGCGGCUUCCGACGUCGAGUUCCGCUGCUUCGUAGGCGGGCUCGCCUGGGCUACCGACGACGCCUCCCUUGAGCGGGCUUUCAGCACCUACGGCGACAUCGUCGAGUCUAAGGUCCCUUAUCUUCUCCAGAUCCAAGAUCUCAACUCGGGUUUCGAUCCUUUUUCCCUACUAGAUCUCGGAUCUCAGACCUCUUUCGUUGUGUUUUACGGUGCAGAUCAUCAACGACCGAGAGACGGGGAGGUCGAGGGGCUUCGGGUUCGUCACCUUCCGCGACGAGCAGUCGAUGAGGGACGCCAUCAAGGGGAUGAACGGCCAGACCCUUGACGGCCGGAACAUCACAGUAAACGAGGCCCAGAACCGCCGGAGCGAUGGUGGAUUCCGCAGCGGAGGUGGUGGGUACGGCGGCGGCGGAGGCUUUCGCAGCGGAGGCGGUGGGUACGGCGGCGGCGGAGGAGGUUUUCGCAGCGGCGGCGGCGGCGGGUACGGCGGCGGCGGCGGUCGCCGUGACGGAGGCGGUGGUUACGGCCGCGACCGCGGGUACGGCGGUGGAUCGUCGGAUGGGUACUGGAGGAGCUAAGGCGGUCGUUCGCUUGCCGCGAUCGGAGGGCUGGGCUUCGUAGUUAUCUGCUGCUUUGGUUAUCUUUAAGUUUGGACUUGUCUGUUGUCUGGCGUCAUUUUGGGUCUUGCAGUAUUAGUAGACUGAUGGUUGUGGUUUGGCAGUCGUAUGAGUGGGUGUUAUUAUCAAAGAAUAGAAAAGAAAAGACUUUUAAAAUAAGGUGAAUAAGUGCCUGAAGAAAAGCAUCCUUUCUACUUGACAUUAAUAUGUUGACGACGAUGCGUUUGGGGUGGAAUAGAUGAACAUCUGUUGUUAAUUAUUUCACUAUUAUCGUCUUACUAUCCCAAAGUAAAGGAGGGUGAAGUGUGUGCUAGUUAGUUUUGAGUAUAAACAUUUAAAAAUAGCAGCCAAAUUAUUUUCGGUUAAAACUUUUUUUUUAAGUUUUUAUUUUAUUUUCAUAGAGUAUUUUUUUAAUAAUAAAAAUAUGAUUAAUUUUAUUCUUUAUUCACUAUCCUUGUUUCUUAUUAUCGAGACGUAUCAUCGACUUUCACCCUUCAUUUUCAUCUACAACGAGGGCAUCUUAAAUCCCUUUUAUGUCAUUAUUGAUCUUGUCGUGAGGUUUUCGCCUUUUGUGUCUUUAUCACUUUUGAGGAGUGCGUCUUUAACCCCUUUCAUCGAAAAUAAAACAAAAACAAAAGGAGUAAAAAAAAUGAGAACGGCAGAUUUUUAUUUUGUCUUUUAAGAAUUUUAUUCUUAAUUUAUUAAGCAAUAAAUCACCCAUUGAUCAAAUUAUUUUAUACAAUCCAAUUCCUACAAUCUAAUCUAAUCUAAUCAUACAGCAGAAUCCAGCUGCAGGGAUCUGGAAUUCCCAAGCUUUUCUAGCUUACAUUUGAAACGUGAUAUCAAAAAUAGCUAUACUUGGAUUGCCUUGCGAGUAACAAGCCAGCUUGAAUUGCCCAGACAAAACAAACAUCUCACUGGGCUGUGGGCGGAGUACGGAGUCAUGCGUGCUCCGUAUCAAAGCUUGGACGGGACGGCUCGUCCCUCGGUGCCUUCCCAUUUGACGUUACCCUCUGCCACCCCCUAAACAAGAUGAAAACGCUAAUAUCAUACCCCGCUACUCAUUAGGAAAACAAAAGAAUCCUUCCUUUGUUCUAUCUCCGAAGCUUUUUCCAAUCUUUCUACUGAAUUUUGAGCAACUACAUAUGCCUGCCACUACAGGUUUAGACAAGUGAACCAAGCAAGAGGAAGAGGAACCUAAUGCAGUGAUGCACUAUGAUCUAACUCCAUUCACCAAACACAGGCUGUAAAGUUUCGACGGUUCCCUACUGAGUUGGCGCACGCGAGAAGUCAACUUCGCUUCGCUCUUUUUCUCCGAACAAAAGAACACCACCCUUUUCCUGCUCAUUCAUAGGUCAAUGGCGAAGAAUCAAAACAAUGAGAGAUCAGUUAAUACAUCACAAUAAGAUGUCAUCUGUUCCAUGACAAUUUCGUGUCAACACAAAGGGCAGAUGGAGUACCAAAUUUCUCUACGAAUAGAUAAGGGGACGCUGUCAGUGCAUCUUAGCGAAGAAGUAUGCAAGACACAAGAAAAGAUCUUCAUGGAAAUCGUCAAGCCAAACAAUAAAAGCCAUGGAAUUUGCAGGAUGCGCAAUAAAUCAACAUGGUUAGUGCUUUAUUCUUGAAGAAGAAGAAGAAGAAGAAGAAGAAGAAGAUGCCUUUUUUUUUUAUCUAUAGUAUCGAGUGAUCACACUGAAUUUUGCCAGAAUGUGUUCUGCAGAUCAAUUGCCAUUUACAAGAAUGCUCCGUCGCAGCAGCUGAGGCACUGCAGAUCUCAUCCUACCUCGACGUAUCCACGUCUCCGUCUUUGGAAGCGGAAUCCGACGACGCAAUAGCUUGCCUUGCUUCCUAAGACCAUUAGAACGAACGCUCUCUAAAAGAAUUCCCCUCAAGAUGAUAAAAGAAGAAGAGAUCCUCCAUACCUUGCUUUGCUUCCUAAGCUUGACGAGGUCACCUACCCCUCUGAUCGUCUUCUUGAGACAAAUCCUAUGCUGAUCCAUGGGCGUGCUGACGAACUGGUCGAAGUGGUCCUUGACGUUGGCCAAGAAGCCGGCGUCGGGCGCCUUCUUCUUCCAACAAGGCGAGACGGCACGGCCGGGGAACUCCACCUCCGAUCGACCCUUGGCUGACUCCAUCAUCUCCAGAAACCUAUUCCCAGUGUCCGAUCACCAAAUGCUCUAUGUUGGCAGAACAGAGCACGCCUUUGAAUUAAAAUACCACUGGUGCCACCGCAUGGUACGAUUUACAUUAAUUUAAUUUGCGGUUUGAAUUCGACAGAAAAUGAGAAAUCACGACACGACAAGCCCUCACGCUUCUACCAAGAACAAAGAGCAACAGCAUGAUGCACUCACUUUCAGAGGAGCAUAACAGAGAUACUGUGGUGGUCGCCUUUAGCUGCAAGAAGCGGAAAGAGGAAGAGAGAGACAGGCAGGCCAGCAGAGAUGCCAAAUGUUUGAAAGGCGAGGAUGGAAAUUAAUAGGAGAGAGAGAAAGAGGGUGGGGAGAAGGAUGACGCGGAAUCGAAAGAAAUCUACCUAGUUCCGCCCAUUGGAAGGGAAGAGCGGGGUCGGUUUUGCUCUCGAGACUUGCUUUGCCUUUCGGGUCUCGGACGCCGACAUUUGACUGGAUUUGCUGGGUGUGAAGAACGACGGCGGGCCGGAAGCCGUGCGCUUGCGGUUCCCUAUUCGCCCCCGAAGAAUCUUAUUCACGCUACGAAAAGAUUGCGGUUGGCUUUUGCAAGAUAUUUAUGAUGCCGACUAUAAUUGCGGUUGGCUUUUGGAUCUUGUGGAGCAUAUUCCACGAUUCGGGCCACUCGUCCCGAGGGCUCGCCCCCGAUCGUGGAGGGUUUCGUUCGGUGAGAGUAGAAAAAAUCUGUGUCAUCAAAUCAUUCUUAUGCUUGUGGAUUUGACAUGGGAUAUUGUUGGUCUAUUUUUGAUAUCGCUUAUUAAUCAAUUAUCUUGAAUGAGUUCACAGGUGGAGUGUUAGCGGCAGCGUCGGUCCUCUUCCUUCGCUGAAAGGCAACCUGCGUCGCCCUCAUCAUCGCUGCUGGCGGCGUGCCUUUCGAAAGGGUUCGUACGCUGUUUCACUUUAUUCCUUGAGCUUUACUCUUCGUAAUCGGUGAAGUAAAGACCGGCCCCCUAAAUCACGGGAAACGGCAGCCUUUUACCCCUUUCCUAUCGGGUCGUCUGGUCACUGAUUUCAGUCUAGGAGGCCUGCACGUUACCUGUUCGACGUAAUGAUCGAGACAAAAUAUGUCCUCCGUGACCUGCGUCCGCCAUACUAGGAGUAAUGUGCGGUCGUGCAUGGCGAUUGCCCUUCUUUCACAGUUUCAGUUAAUCAAAUAAAGAGGCUAGUUUGGUUGGAAUUUUCCACCUUAAGUUCCCAGCUAGAUUUUGUGGGUUGAAAUGUUGGGUUAAGGAAGAUGGAACUUGUAAUAGAUGAUAAACCCCCGUUUCCCGACGGUGAAUUGAUUGGAACCUGUGUAUUUGAACAUCUGAAAAUAUGCCACACGUCCCGUCCCGGGAGCUCAGAGCGAUGUCGCCUGACGCUGCUCUGCACGUCCCGGAAUGAUGGCCGGUCAGAAGGGUCGUCUCAUCCCUCGGGGGUUGCGGCGACGUCGAAUCGACGCACCAUCAACCCUCGCGCCAUAGUAUAAAACCCCUAGCCGGCCUCCAACCAGGGGAGAGGCAAAAAACAAAAGGGAAAAAGAAAAGCAAUCUCUCUUAUUACUAAUUUGAUCGUCGGAGGGGCCAUAGCCGGGGAUCAUCCGGCGGAGGCCAUUUUUGCAGGAGGGCGACCACUUGUUGACGACGAGGGACUCGGCACAGGAGCACCAGUCGUCCGACAAUGUGGAGUUGUUAAUCAGCCCCAAUCUCGACCAACGCCAACAACACUCCUUCCCGAGGGCCUGGCCACCUCAUCAUCCAGAUCACCCCACAAUAGGCUCCCGACAUCGACCCGUGGACCUAGCUGUGCUGACUCAACGGCCAUGAUAUAUUUGUUCGCUAACAAUAUGGACUCAGCAUGUGCAUUUUAGGUUCUCGUCUAUAUCUUGUAAGUUUGUAAUCAAUUUAUGAUUUGGAUCUUAAUUUGAUCAGACACUUAUUCUUCUUUUCAUCACAUAGUGAGUGUUUCCGGAUUGAUGCUUGCCAGAGCAGAUCUAUUUGUAGGAUUCUGAGUCGAUGUUUCUGCUGCAGUGCUACUAUCAAACAUUCGAGUUAGAGAUGUAAGUAAGAUAGUUCUCGAGAAGUUUCGUGAUGAUGAAGUAGGUAAUAUUAUGGUUCUUGUGAUUACCAAGCCAUUAGAUUGUUCAUACAAAUCAGAAGCUUAUUUGCACAAUAUGUGUUUGAUGGUAUACAGCUUGGAAAAUGGCUUUAGCGAUAAAAAAUUGUUUGUUGUUGGGGGAAAAGAAUUAAUCGAUAGCUUAUAGAUAAAAGAGAUGGGCCUGCAGUAGAUGCAUUUGAAUUCCUCAAAUAAUUGUCACAUAUAAAACUGACAUAUAAAUCAUCUAAGCACCUUUCUUGAAUUAACUGGACGAGACGGUUUUUUGAAAUGCAUCAUGAUGUUGAAUGAGCCAAUUGGCUGAUUCUCUUCUCUUAUCACUUCGGCCACCUUCUGUUUAUGUUCGAAAUUUCAGAAUGAUUUUGUGCUAUGUGCACCAUCUUGUACAGCCUCAGACAGUGUGAGACAAGCGAUCGUCCCACCCGAGUCUAAGGUGAUGUCGAUGCGAUGCACUAUAUUAGCUCUGAGGCUCCAUGUUGGUAUUAACGUGGCUACUGAUUGUUGUCGCAAGGGGUGACCCUAGAAUAUGCCCUAUCAACAUUGAUGAAGUUGUAAAGACAAAGCAAGAUAAGAAAUCAAAAUGAAGCUAAAAAAUCACAACAACACUUAUUUGUGUGUUCAUUUUGUUGUUUAGGUAUUUUUUUAUGAAAGAAGUUGUUGAUGUUCUGAUCAACUUGAUGUGAGCCAGCCUCUUAUAUGCAGGGUUGUUCAAAAUACCUCUGACAUGAAAAUGUUGAGCUCUCGAAAUAUUACUUGUACGAAGAUCGAGGUUGAGAGGUUUCUCGACCCGAUCCCUCCAACGAGGUUAAAAAGAUGAUCCUUUAUUCAUUAUAUUGAAGAUAAGCCUUUAUACCUAAUCGUAAAAAGCUAGACUAUUUCAUGAAAUCUUUUACGAAGAGGCAAUCUCUAAUUGCCUCCAAUAUUUCUCUUAGCCUCGUAUUAAUGUGAGCGACUGAGGGGGGGGCAACGAACAACCAUGUCUUAGACCUUUUCCCAUGUGGGUAGACAGGUGGAGAGUGGCCUUCAUUUUUCUCUUUCAACACUAGACACCAUAUGGUGGUAAUAUAUCGAAUGAUAAUUAGCUAACAAUUGACUCCUUAUCAUGUAUCCCCCCCCCCCCUUAAAGGUGUGCUUCGGGGCUCUCAUGAGAGAGAUUUGAAGUGCAGCGUUUAGUUCAUCUAGUACAUCAAGCUUAUGCUUCUUUGAUCCAUCAUCAACCUAGUGGCACAUCUAGUUCAUCUGACAUGUUUAGUUCAUCGUGCCCGUGCAAUAUUGAUGGUGAUCUAUCGUCGACUUAUUCUUCAUAUCAUCGAGGGAUGCACUUUGGUUGGAUGGGGUUGGGUUUCCUGACCUCGCCAUCUCUUCCCUACUUGGUUAAGUUUGUAUAUUGGUAUGUCUCGAGCGGGGGAGGGGGUCGUGUUUUCCGACCUUCAUGUCUCAGACAAAGGUGGGGGUCAGGUUUCCUAACCUCCUCAUCUCGAGUGAAUGUAGGGUUCAAGUUUUUUGACCUCUACGACUCAACGAUGACCUUAAGCGAAGGAGGAGGGGGUCAGGUUUCCCGACCUCUCUGCCUCACGCACCACGAGCAUGUUUUAUCUUGUGCCUCCCGUCGUGGUGAGUUUCUUUUGAUGCAGGUUGUAUUUUCUCGACUCACAUAUAUUGGACAUAUUUUGUCUUAUGCUUUAUGUCGUUAUGAGUUUCUUUUAACACAGGUCGGAUUUUCUAUACAUCGGUUACUUUUACGCUCUUUGAGGUGCUUUUCGUACAUUGGUCACUUUUCCACUCUCCAAGGUGGUCUUCAUACAUCAAUCACUUUUUGCAUUCUCUGAUACAAUCUUCGCAAAUCAAUCACUUUUGCGCUCUCCGAGGAAGUCUUCGCACAUUGAUCGCUUUUUCGCUCUCUAAGGUGCCCUUUCAUCAAUUGAUUUCCUUUCGGAUUCAACUUAAUAGGAUACUUGUCUUCAAUGUGGGAGAAAAGAGAUCGACCCCCUCCUUAUAAAUCCCCCUUAAUCAUAGGGGUGAGACUUAUUCUCUCAUUUGAGCCUCUAAGGCCCCCAUUAGGAGCCCUCUCCACUUAGCACUGGUUCUCCUUGUAAGGUGAUAAGUUCUUAAUUACCUCAUCCUCUCAGCGUAUCGGAUCUAUAACACCUCGGCCUUUCAACAUCCUUUGCUUUCACCUUCGUAAGUUGGGAUAUAUUUCCUUUCUCGCACAAGCUCCUCCCGAUCUCAUGAUCGUCGAAUGGUCAAGGAGGUUGAUGCUCCAUCCUUGGACAACUUAGAGGCGAAUGAAGUUCUGACCUCCCCUCGUCGGGGGAAUCAAUUCUCAUUAACCCAAAGGUUCUUUGAGACUUAGAUCCAUGUAUUAUGAUAUCCAUGGAUCUGUGCAAUAGGAAUUAGAUUAUGAUGAGACCGAUUCGCCUUUAAAUACAAACUCUAAAUAAUUCUAGUCAUAGAUCACUCAAGAGAGACAUUGAGAUAAUCGGACAGACUAGUGUGUUGUAUACUCAUCCAUAUGAUAGAGGUAGUUGGUCUUAUAGCUACUCAUGUGGGGACACUAGGGAUAUCGUACAGGUGCUGAAUGAAAAAUGAGUUCACUGAUUGAUCCGCUUACGGAAUGCUAGAUAGUUGGUGAUAUCUCGUUGUUAGACAACGAUUCCAUCAUCUCAGUGGUGUAUCUAGUUCUUAGACUUGAGAUACCAAAGAUGUCUUAUAUUAGUACUUCACUCUUUAAUACCAGACUUAUAGACAUGAAAGUUUCAAAUCUAGCAUAACUAGUCAUUGGGAGUGGUCGCCAACCAUACGAGAGGUAUUGAGUAUCGAUAAAUAAUCAUCCACUCUCGGUGUCAUGAGUGGAAUAUCACAUGUAUUCUUACUUAGGUAAAUCUCUAGCUACAGUCAUUUGGAUUAAGAGAAAAGAAGUUUUCCGAGAGAAUCCAAUUAAAGCGAGACUCGAGUAGAAACCGUUUGGGCCUGACAACACAAUGUCUGGUAUACAAUUUCUAGGAUAUUAUAUAGAUAAGGGAUUAUAGAUACAUGGUAAUUGAGGAUAGACAGGUCUAAUGGAUUGGAUUCCCCUCCUAUAUUGUUUGAGGACUAUUGCGUAGUGGCCUAGUACAUUCGUAGCCGAUGAGUCGAGUGAAUUAUUAUAAAUAUAUUAAUUCAUUGAGUCAGAAUGAGUUCUGAUAAGUAUUACUUAUGUCCAGCUUGAUAUUAAGCCUAGAGGGUCACACACAUAUAUAGAUAAUAAUUCACAUAUAUGGUAGGUGUUGUGAUGAGUAGAGGUUCAGAUAUGAGAUAUCCAUUGGAGCCUAUAUCUUAUUGGAUAUCCAAUAAGCCCCUGAAUUAUUGGAUAAUAUGGACGAGAUCAAAUAAGGGCCAAUAAAAGAUUAUUAGGUAAAAAUUCACUAAUCUAAGAGGCUUGAGUAGUUGGAUGAAGAUCCAUUAUCUAAUAGGGUAGGAUCCAUUAUGAUUAAGUUGAUAUGAGACCUCUAUAAAUAGGAGAAAACCAAAGGGUCACAAGUUAUACCUCAUUUGACUAUCACCUUCUUUUCUCCUCUCCCCCUCUCCUCCUCAACCAGUAGCCCAUAUUUGGGGUGUGUGGACUGGAAGAAGGGUCGACCCCUUCUUGAUUAUGUGGUGUGCGCAGCAAGGAGAUUUGAGCAGCGAUUUGAGAAGCGUCUUCACAACCACUGCCAUGUGGAUUGUUGAAUCUCAGAUUUUGAUGAUGAAAUCAAUUAAUGAGUUUAUGAUCUAAUCUGUGUUUUGAGUAACGUAGGACUAACUUCGAUUAGAAAAAGCAAAUCGAUUAAAACAGGAGGAAUCAUAUGUUGGGUCAGAGUGAAACAUGUUAGGAGAUUGGACGUUGAGCUGGAGGAUCGGUCGACGUACCGGCAGAAGGACUUCAUGCCAUGAGUUCGAGCAUCGGGCCAAAGGAUCAUACAUUGCGACAAGGAGAUCGAAAGUUGCAAGAGUCAACAUGCCAAUUGGGCAAUACACCAAAGGAGAGGACGAUGCGUUGAAGGAUAGGACGAAGCAUCAAAUGAACCAAUGACAUACCGGACAAUAUAGGAUUCAUGCUUGUAAUCGUGUGUAUAGAUCGAGUUAGUUUAGGACUAAUUGAGUCAAUUUUGGGAUAAAACAAUUUCAACUCAAUUAUAGGCCAAUUGGGCCUGAUCAAGGCUAAAUUGGGUCUAUUGUUUGGCCCAUUCAGUGACCUAUAGCAGGAUCCGGUGAUGGUACUGCUAGACUGGGUGGUGGUACCGCCCAGUGUCAGACUGAUAGUUGGUGGUACCGCCCAAUACUGGCGGUAGUACCACCAAUACCCCGAAAACCCGAGAUGAGACUAUUUUGGCUCCAAAUUUGAAUCCAUUUGGGGCCUAUAAACACCCCACUUAUCCUUGCUCAAUGAAGAUAAGAAUUAAAACAAAAAUAGUGUGAAAACUCUAUAGUAAAUCCUUAAGAAUUCCCCUCUAGCUUUAAGUUUCGGUUUUAGUUUAAGAGAGGGGUGAGUGGAUUGUAAAGGUUAACUCUUGAACUCGUGAAAAAGGAGAAAAGAGUUGUAAGGGUAGUUGAUCUUUGCCCGUUGGAAAGAGGUUUAAUAGUGGAAGUCGGUGGCCUCGACUGAAGAAGAAUCGGGAGUGGACGUAGGUCAUGACGUCCGAACCACUAUAAAUCCGGUGUACUCGGUUUAUAUUUAUGUUUUGCUUUUCAUUCUCAUAUUGUAAACUAAUUUACUUUAUUACUACUCUCACUACACUUAUGAACGUGCUUUCUAAGUUUAAACGCUUUCCGAUACGAUUUCAUCGAACGAAGUUUUCAAAUCGUCAUUUUUACGACAGCAUUAAUUCACCCCCCUCCCCUCUCCCCUCUUAGUGCCGAUUUCGGUCCUAAUAGUUGGUAUCAAAGCUAAGAUUUUUUUAGUUUACUUUAACACCCAAAAGAAAUGGUUUUUACUGACAAUCAUGAGGGUCUUUCUAUUACUCAUCUUCCUAUGUUUAAUGGGAUGGACUACACAUAUUGGAGAACUAGAAUGUGAAUUUUCUUGCUUUCUAUGGAUUUCGAUUUAUGAAACAUUAUUGAAAGCGAUUUUGAAAAGUCUUCUAAACCAAUGAACGAAUGGAAUGAUUUGGAGAAGAAGACUUUCUCUUUAAAUGCUAAAGCGAUGAACACAUUAUUUUGCACUCUUGAUAAAAAUGAAUUUAAUCGGGUUUAUAUAUGCGAAACUACACAUGAGAUUUGGCAUAUAUUCGAAAUCACACAUGAAGGCACAAGUAAAAUUAAAGAGUUUAAAGUCAAUCUUUUGAUGUAUAGUUUUGAAUUGUAUCAAAUGAAGCCAAGCGAAACUAUUGUUGACAUGUAUACUUGUUUUACGGAUGUCGUCAAUAGUUUGAAAGAUCUUGGUAAAUAUUUUUCUAAUCUUGAACUUGUAAACAAGAUUCUAAGAUCUCUUCUAAAAAGUUUGGAUCCAAAAGUAACGACAAUACAACAAGCAAAGAACCUAAAUAAUUUUUCACUAGAAGAAUUUAUUGGGUCUUUAAUGACCUAUAAAAUGACUUGUAUUGAACAUGAUGAAUAUGAGAACUACCUUCCAAGGAACAUGAAGAAUUUAACACUUCAAACAAUAGAAGAUCACUCGAGAGAAAGCUCAAGUGAUGAUGACAUAGAACUUUUGACAAAAAAUCUUAAAAAGUUCAUGAAAAAAACUAGUUCUAAAAAUGAACUUAAAAAUGACACAUUUUACUAUAAAUCGAAGAAGAUACCAAAGAAGAAGAAAGCAUUCUAGACGAUAUGGGACGAAUCGAGUACAUCUAAUGAUGAUGAGUAAACCAACAAAAGCGAGGUGGCGAACUAUGCCUUAAUAGAUUUCGAUAAGGAGGUAUACAACUCAACUGAAAUGUCUUUACCGUACGAUGAAUUAUUAAAUACUUUUCAUGAUUUAUUUGAUAAAUGUAAGCUAGUUAGUGAAAAAUAUAAAUUAUUAAAAAAGGAACAUGCUUCUCUUACUAAUGAAUUUGAAAAUUUAAAAAAUGAGCACGAUAAUUGCAUGUUAACUCCUUGCACUAAAUGUGAAGAAUUAUAUUCAUGCAAAAAGAAAAUUUUAUUAUUACAAUAAAUGUUAGAUAAAUUUAAAAUUAGUAGUAAAUCUUUAAACAUGAUUCUUGCCAAUAAGAGUCAUAUUCGUAGAAAAGAAGAAAUUAGCUUUGUGAGUAGUAACACUCAACAAAAACCAACCACAUUUGUUAAAGGACCCACAUUAAAUAUUUUCCAUGAAAACAAAUUUAAUUUUUGUAGUAGACAUUAAUUUUUGUAGUAGACAAUGAUAGCUCACCACUAAGUUGAAAGUCUUUUCUAAACCCUAAAUACCAAAAUAAGUACUACUGCAUGAAAUAACCCUUCAUAGAGAAAAUUUUGAAAUUAAGUGUUUUACAAUUGUUGACCAACUCCAUAAAUGCAUUCCUUGGUCAUGAAGAAAAACACCUUGAAAUAGCUUUAACUUUGUGCAAGGAAUAUGCUGAUGAGCUAUCAUAUUUGAGUGGGCUGAGUUGAAAUUAUGAGGCAAUAUUGUUGGCUGAAAAAAAUAUCAUAUCAUCAGCAAGGUCCAUAUGAGCAAAUUGUAGCAAAUUAGACACUCCCAUGUCAAUCUCCCUUGGUUGAAAAAGACUUAUCCUUAAGUCCUUGUUUGCUUCGUCAACAUGAUUGUGAAAAGGACUUAAAUCAGCAACAUUAAAUGUUGGGGACACUCUAUAAUCUUCAGAUAGCUCGAUCUUAUAAGUGUUUUUGCCAAUUCUCUUAAGUACUUUGAAUGGACCAUCAGCCUUUGGUUUUAACUUUCUAAAUUUGCCCAGUGGAAACCUCUCCUUCCUUCGAUGAAUCUAAACCAAAUCACCAACAUUAAACUCCACAUGUUUUUUGUGUUUAUUGGUAGCUUCCAUGUACCUCUCAUUUUGCUUUUCUAUAUUUGCUUUAACAUCCUCAUUUAGCUUCUUUAUCUGCUUUUCUCUCUCAUUAGCAUCUCCACUAAAUUCCUUAGUUGUCGAAUGAGGGACGAAAUCCAAAGGACUAGUAGGAUUAGCACCAUAAACAAUAUCAAAAGGACUUUUAUCAAUACUAUGAUGCAUAGAAUGAUUGUAUGCAAACUCAAUUUGUGUAAGAAUGAUAUCUCACUGCUUAAUAUUCUUGCCAAUAUAGCUUCUAAGCAAAUUUUCCAAGGUUCUGUUCGUUAUCUCAAUUUGACCAUCUGUUUGUAGAUGAUGCGAGCUAUUGAAAUUCAAAAAAGUACCUAACUUUCUCCAAAGAGUUCUCCAAAAAUGACUAAGAAAUUUUGAAUCUCGAUCAAACACCAUAGUUCUUGGAAUACCAUGCAAUUUAACAAUCUCCUUAAAAUACAAAUCAACAAUACAAGAUGCAUCAUUCGAUUUAUUGCAGGGAACAAAGUGAGACAUUUUUAAAAAUCUGUCAACAACAACCAUGAUAGAAUCUUUGUUCCUUUGAGUUCUUGGUAGUCCCAAAACGAAAUCAAGACUCACAUCCUCCCAUGAAGCAUUUGGCACAGGCAAUGGAGUGUACAAUCCAGAAUUUUAACUUCUUAUUUUUGCUAAAUGACACACUCGACAUUGCUAUACAUGUUUCUCCACAUCUCUAAAUAUUUUAGGCCAAUAGAAGUUUGAUUGAACAAGAGCUAGAAUCUUGUCUCUACCGAAAUAUCCACCCAAAACACCACCGUGAGCUUCAGCUAGAAUUUCUUGUCUCAAAGAAUAAGAUGGAACACAUAAAGCAUUAGCUUGAAAAGAAAAAUCAUCAAAGAUAGAAAAUUAUUGAAAGGAACCUGAUUUGCAAUUCUACCAUAUUGAGCCGAAAUCCACAUCAUUCUCAUAGAGAUCUUUGAAUGUUUUAAAUCUAACCACUUUGACUUCCAUUAUUGAUAAUAAAAAAUACUUUCUGCUCAAUGCAUCAGCAACUACAUUUUGAACACCAGAUUUGUGCUUGAUUGUAAAAUUAUAAGAUUGCAAAGACUCCACUCAAGUUGUAUGCCUCUUGUUUAGCUUGUGCUGAUGAUUAAUGAACUUUAAUGCCUCAUUAUCAGAAUAUAAGACAAAUGGCUUGGUAGAAUAUUUCUUUCUCGUAUCAUUCAGCUUUUCACUAAAAAAUGCAUUGGGCUUUCCAUCUUGACUCAAAACAGCACCAAUUCCCACAUUAGAUGCAUUACAUUCAACCCCAAACACAUUGUCAAAAUUUGGUAGAACUAAGAUAGGAGCUUCAGUCACCUUUCUUUUUAAAAGCUCAAAAGCAUCAUUAGCCUCAUUAGUCCAUUUGAAUUUAUCACAUUUCAGACAUUCGGUGAUUGAAGCGAUAAUAGAGUUAAAACCCUUGAUGAAUCUUCUAUAAAAGGAAGUUAAGCUAUGGAAACUCCUCACAUCAUGCAAUGAAGUAAGUGUUGGCCAAUUGAGAAUAGCUUCUACCUUACUUUGAUCUAUCAUAAUUCCAUCUUUUGAAACAACAUAUCCCAAAAACACAACACUAGAAGUAAAGAAAUCACACUUUUUUAGACUAACAUAAAGCUUUUACUGCCUCAAAAUAAGAAAGAUCUCUUUCAGAUGAUUCAUAUGCUCCUCUUUACUCUUGUUGUACACCAAUAUAUCAUCAAAGUAAACUACAACAAAUAUUCCAAUGUAUGACUAAGUAUGUGAUUUAUAAAUCUCAUGAAAGUACUAGGAGCAUUAGAUAGCCCAAAUAGCAUAACCAACCAUUCAUAUAAGAAUUCUCUAGUUUUAAAUGAUGUUUUCCACUCAUCUCUGGGCUUCAUUCUUAUUUGGUGAUAGCCACUCCUCAAAUCAAUUUUAGAGAAAAUAUAAGCACCAUGUAAUUGAUCAAGUAAACCAUCGAAUCUUGGAAUAGGAAAAUGAUAGUCCACUGUGAUUUUAUUGAUGGUGCGACUGUCCACACAUUCUCUAAGAACCAUCCUUCUUAGGUACCAACAAGGUUGGGGCUGCAUAAAGACUCAUGCUCUCUCGAAUCAAUCCAUUUUCCAUCAACUCAUCCACUUGUCUUUAAAGUUAUCCAUGCUCCUUGGAACUCAUUCUGUAGGCUGCAUUGUUUAGUAUAAUAGGCCCUGGAAUAAGAUUAAUAUAAUGCUGGAUGUCUCUCAAAGGUAGAAGGUCAUGUGGAAUCUCUUCUGGUAUAACAUUUUUAAACUCCUCCAUGAUUUGUUUCAUGAUUGCUGGUGUCUUCUUGUGUUGUUCAUUUUCCUCUACUACUACUAGAGUCAUAACAUGACCACCCUUGUCUAAUUCACCUUUGCAUUCGCCAUAGGAUAUAAAAGCGCUAACUUCCUUCUUUGGUGCACUGAUUUCGAAAGGUUGUAAUGGAGCUAAGAUAAUAUUCUUUUCAUUCACCUUAAAAGAAUAAGUAUAUUUGUAGCCGUCAUACAACACCCUUCUAUCAUAAUGCCAAGGUCUUCCCAACAGCAAAUGACAAGCGUCCAUAGGAGCAACAUCACACCAUACUUUGUCUUUAUAAUACAUAUCAAUAGAAAACAAAACUAAACAUCUUUUAGUUACCUUGAUGUCAUUUCCUUUUUACAACCAACAUAAUUGGUAUGGAUGUGGAUGAGGGAUUGUGUCCAACUUUAGCUUCUGCAUCAUCUCCAAAUAUACCACAUUCUUAAAGCUGCCGCUGUCGAUGAUCACCAUGCAUACCUUGCCAAGAGAAGUUGAUUUAGUGUGAAACACAUUUUUUCUCACCCAACUUUCAUCCUCGGCCACAUAAGACACUUGUAAGCUAUGUUACAAUAUAAUAGACAAACCAUGAUCUGCAUANNNNNNNNNNNNNNNNNNNNCUGCAGCGACACCCAGUCGAAAUGGGAGUUCAUAUCGGACUCCAAGAUGCAUCUGUCAACCAAGAUGUCCAGUGAUCUUCAUCAUAUUUUGGUUCGUCAUCAGCUUCAUCUAUUCCUCCAUCACUAUGAUCUUCAACCAAAGUUACAAUCCUUCUAUUUGGAUAAUCUAAAGCAAUAUGCCCAAAACCAUGACAUUUGAAGUAUUUUUUUGCCACUUGGGGUAGAAUAAUUUGGUAUUUUUUUGCUGCCAGCAAAUUCUUCACCCUUUUCUUACACCUUCGAUAUCACCUUGCUAUGGAUAAUAGGCUUGGAACUUCCUCCUUUUAUAUAGCAUUCUUUUGAACUGUACUGAGAACUCUUUUCAAACUUCUGUUGCUUUUUAACUUUUAAUGUCAGCUUGCUCACAUUAUUUAAAGACCAAUAUGGCUGUAGAUGAACAAUUUUAGCAAUCUCAUAUUUUAGACCUCCUAAAAAUAUUGCAAUGGUUUUCUCUUCUGGUUCCACAAGCUCUCCUUUUAACAUUAGAUUAUCGAAUUCUGCUAUGUACUCUUCCAUACUAAGAUCUUUUUAUUGAAAAUCAUGAAUUUUGAGAAAUAUCUCUUGUCAAUAAUUGUCAGGUAAAUAUUUUCUCUUCAACUCCCUUUUUAUUUUUUCCCAUAUCACGAUCUUACUCUUUCCCUCACGUUCUCUUUAUUUUUUCAGAUUUUCCCACCAAAAAGAUAUAUUCCAUCUAAGUUUAAGUGCCACAAGUUUUACCUUAUUUUGUUUUAGUGGUUCAUGAAAAUCAAAAAAUCUUUCCAAUGUAUUAAACCAAUCAAUAAAAUCAUCAACAUUAAUUUUACCUUCAAACUCUAGAAUAUCCAAUCUUGGGUUAUAUUUGUUUUGCCACUCGUCUUGGACUCCAUGUCUUACCCGAAAUCUUCUCGACUCCCUUAGAUGAGGAGGUGUAUCAUCAUCAGAAGUAAAUUCAUGGAUAUCAUUUUCAAGCUAGUUGUGUCUACUUUGAAGUUCUUCGAUUAUUACAUUUUUUUCUUGUAGACUAUGCAUCAAUCUUCAUAGCUACAACCUCGAUGACUUAGUAUCAUCUUCAUGGCAACUACCUUCAUCAACUAUAUCUUUUUCAUUCCACCUUGCCAUGAUCUUUAACCUUUAGCUCUGAUACCGGGGGUGAUGGAGAAUGGGGGGGGGGGGUUGGUAAAGCAGAAUAGAUUUUGAUAGAAAACCGAUAGUAGAGUUGUAUUUGCUAGAAUGAGUAUUUCGAAUAAAAAAGUCACAAUAGACAAGGAACGAACUCUCGAAAAAAAGUCGCAGUAUAGUUGUAUUUGCUAGAAUGAGUGUUUUGAAUAGAAAAGACACGAACUCACGAUAAAACUUAAAUAAGAUCGAAAAAUAGCAAUCACCAAGUUAAAAUCACAAAGGGAUACAAAAAGUUCAUCACCUCAAGGAUUUUAAACAAGGAUACAGAGCUGAAAACAAAAGACUUGUCAUUCAAGGACGCAUCCAAGAGAUAUAGAGUUUAAGGGAGUACUCUAAGAGGGCUUUUGCCAAAAUAUCAUUAGUUUCUAAAGUCCUUUCUAAGCUCUAAACACCAAAAUAAGUACUAGUUCAUGAAACAACCCUUCAUGCAUAGGAAAUUUCGAAAUUAAGUGUUUUACAACUACUAACCAACUCCAUGAAUGCAUUCCUUAGUCAUGAAGAAAAGUACCUUGAAACAGCUUUAACUUUGUGCAGGGAAUAUGUUGAUGAGCUGUCAUAUUUAAGUGGGCUAAGUUAAAGAUUAUGAGGCAACAUUGUUGGUUGAAAAAAAUACAAUAUCAUUAGCAAGGCCCACAUGAGUAGAUUGUAGCAAAUUAGACAAAUCCAUAAUAAAUGAGUUUCAUUAAAUCAAGCUUCUAUUUUAGCAAAGAGAAAGAAUUCAUUAAAAGGAUUAAGAUGUCCAUACAAAAUUAAAUCUCUAUCCUUGUAAAUGAUUAUCACAUACUAAAAGUUCAUGAAUAAAAUUCUUCUUUCGUGAGUAGAUCGAGGAAGAAUUCAUGGGAAGUAAUCAUUAAAUGAAGGAUAAAAAAUCUAUGAAUAAAAUUUCAUAAAUCAAAUCCCUUUUCUUGUAAAUAGAAGGAAGAAGGAUUCAAAAGAAUUAAUUAAGUCAUUAAUCCAAAAUUCCAUGAAUCAAGGCUCUUCUUUUGCAAAUAGAAAGAUGAUCUCGAUUUAAAAAGAAAAUUUAAGUUAUGAAGAACCAAGAAAUUUGAAAAAAGAAUUUACACAUUUGGAAGAUUUAGCAUGCCUAAUUCUCUUCUAAUGAAAUCAAACUGUUCCUCAUUCAAUUUCAAAUCGUCAGAUCAUCAAAAUCACUUUCAAGAUAUUCAUAAAAAAUAACAUAAAUAGAUUUAUUAAUCUCUUUUUGAAAAAUCAAUAAGAUAGUGAUAGAGAAAUUUUCAAUAAUGCAUUACCAUUUUAGUUGUUUCAAUUCAUGUAAUUGAUUUCAUACAAGUAUACCCAAAUUUUUAUUUUUUUGUUUUUAUGUCAAAACCAUGCAUCAUAUUUAAAACCAAAAGACAAAGACAAGAUUCAUCACAAAAAUCACCAAGAUUUCAAAUCAUCAUGCAUGAUUAAAUCAUUAAAGAUGGUACCAAAACUUUUAAUAUUUUUAUUACGUAUUACAUCAUUAUGCAUCAUUAAAUCAUCAAAUAUGAUUUCAUUAAACAUAAAGUAUUUUCAAUCAAAAUCAUUUUGUUUGUAAUGCAUUUUUCUUUUUCAAUGAAUCUAACUUUUCAUGCUUAGUGCUAUGAGUUAACAUUCAAUUGUCAUGCUCAAAUUUUAAUUAUUAUUAUUUCAAAAUCACUAGAAAGAGAAGCAUGAUAAUUUUUUCUUUUACUAACUAAUUUAAAAACAACUCAUGAAAUGCAUCAAGUAAUUUUAAAAUAAGGUAAAGGAGAUUUGUUUGAGUUGUUUACCUCAUUAUCAAGAGUCAUCAAAGCGAAGUUCGCUACUUCGUCUUCAUCAGUUUACUCCUCGUCUUCCGAUACACUUAUUUCAUCCCAAGCCGUCUUGAAUACUUUCUUCUUCUUUGGUAACUUCUUCUUUUUAAGUUUAUUUUUAUUUUUUUAUUCUUGUUUUAUGAACUUUUUAAAAUUUAUUGUUAAGAGUUCAAGAUCAUCAUGAUCAUCAUUAUCACCAUCAUUUGAGAUUUCUCUCAAGUGGUCUUCUUUUGUUUGAAGUAUCAAAUCCUUCAUGUUCUUUGGAAGGUAAUUCUCACGUUUAUUUUGUGUCAUACAACUCAUUUCAUAGGUCAUUAAAAACCCGAUAAAUUCUUCAAUCAAAAUAUGGUUCAAUUCUUUGAUUCUUGAUAGUUGUUGCUUUAGGAUCCCAAUUUUUGGAAAGGGAUCUUAGUAUUUUAUUAACAAGUUCAAGGUUAUAAAAAAUUUUUCUAAAUGUUUUUAAACUAUUGAUGACAUCCGUAAAACAGGUAUACAUGUCAAUAAUAGUUUCGCUUGGUUUCGUAUGAAACAACUCAAAAUCAUGCAUCAAAAGAUUAAUUUUAAAGUCUUUAACUCUACUAGUGCCUUCAUGUGUGAUUUCAAGUGUGUGCUAAAUAUCGUGAGUAGUUUCGUAAAUAGAAACACAAUUAAAUUUAUUUUUAUCUAAGGUGCAAAACGAAGCAUUCUUUGGCAUUCAAAGAAAAAGUCUUCUUUUCCAAUUUAUUCCAUUCGUUCAUUGAAAGAUAAGACUUUUGAAAUCCGUUUUCAAUGAUAUUCCAUAAAUUGAGAUUCAUAGAAAGCAACAAAACUCUCAUACGAGUUUUCCAAUAUAUGUAGUUCGUCCCAUUGAACAUAAGAGGACGAAUGAUAGGGUGACCCUAUUGAAAUAUUAAAAGAGUCAUUUCUUUUGAGUGUUAAACCAAAUAAGAAAAAUUGUCUCUAAUAUCAAUUGUUAGGAUCGAGUCGACACUAAGACGGGGCGGAGGGGGUGGUGAAUUAGUGUAGCGAUAAAAAUCACAUCGAGUCAAAAAUUUCAUUCGAUAAAAUCAUUUCGGAAAGAUGUUAAACUUGAAAGUGUACGGAAGCAUAGUGAAAGUAAAGUAGUUUGCAAUGAAAGUAAAGAGCAAAAUAGAAAUGCAAACCAAAUUUUUAUAGUGGUUCGGUCGUCGUGACCUACAUCUACUCUUGAUUCCUCUUCACUCGAGGCUAUUGACUUCCACUACCGAUCUUAUUUCAACGGGUGUAGAUCAACUACCCUUUUACUCCCCUCUUCUCCAUUUCACAGGUUUAAGAGACAACCUUUUAUAAGCACUCACUCCUCUCUAAAUAUAAUUCUAACUUUAGAACUAGAGGAGGGGAUUUCUCAAGUGAUUGUUAUAGCGUUUUCCCACUUUUAAGUUCUUUAUGCUUAUGUUUGUUAACCAGGGAUGAGAGGGGGUAUUUAUAGGCUCCAAAUGGAUUCAAACUUGGAACCAAAACUAGUCUCAUCCUGGGUCUUUCAGAUACUAGCGGUACCACCACCUGUAGCACUAACACUGGGCGGUACCAUCGCUUGACACCCUGCCACUAGGCGAUACCACUACCCAGUUUGGUAGUACCACCGCCUGAUAUAGUCUCGGAGACUGCACCACCGAUGGUUCCACCUAUUGGGUCACUUUUUGAGUCUUUCGCUUGGCCUAACACAGCCCAAACUUGGGCCUAAUUGGUCUCUAAUUGAGUUGGCCCAAUUUCAACCCAAUUACACCUAAAACCUACUUCGAUCUAGACAAUUAUUAUAAAGCUAAAUCAAAUGUUGUCUGGCAUGUCAUUGGUUCAUCGACGCCUCGUCCGAUUUUUCAGCGCAUCAUCCUCUCUUGCGGCCUAUUGUCCAAUCGACCAAUUGACAUCCAUAACUCCGAUUUCCUUGGUAUAAUUUUUGCUAUUCUUGGCUCGAUGCCCGAACCCAUGGCCCGAAGGCUUUUGCAGAUACGUCGACUGAUCCUCCAGCUUGACGUUCAAUCUUCUGACAUAUUCCACUUCGGCCCUACAUGAUUCUUCCUGCUUUAAUUGUCUCUCCCUGAUCGAAGCUUCCUACGUCACUCAAAAUGUAAAUCAUAUCAUAAACACUAUCAAUUGGUUCCAUCAUCAAAAUAUAAGAUUCAACACCUCAUCCAUCUAAUAUUCCAAAGACCGUAUACCGAGUAUAGUGCUGUCAAGCUCAUACGAUUUCUACUCGAGUCUCGCUCUAAUCAGAUUCUCCCGAAGAACUCUUUCUCUCUCAAUCCGAAUAACCAUAGCUAGAGAUUUGUCUAAGUAAGAACAUAUGGGAUAUUCCUCUUAUGACAUCCAGAAUAGAUGGUCCUCUAUCGACACUCAAUAGUCCUCGUAAGAUUCACAGCCACUCCCGAUGAUCGGCUAUGCUAAAUCUCAAACUUUCAGGUAUAUAAGUCUGAUAUCAAAGAGUGGAGUACUCAUACAGGACAUCAUUAAUGUCUCAAGUCUAAAGACCAGAUAUACCACUAGGACAACAUAAUCACUGUCUAACAAUGAGGUAUCAUUAACCAUUCAAUAUUUCAUGAGCAGAUCAAUUAGUGAACUCAUUCUCCAAUUGACACCUAUACUAUAGCCCUAGUGUCCUCACACGAGUAACUAUGAGACCAGCUGCCUCCAUUAUAUGGACAAGUAUAUAGCACAUCAGUCUGUCUAAUUAUCUCGAUGUCCCUUUCAAGUAACCUAUGAUCAUGAUUAUUUAGGGUCUACGUUUAAAGGUGAAUCGAUAUCAUUAUUAUGAUCUUAUCACGAUAUAUAUGCAUAUAUGCAACAAGCAAUAUAAAGUGAUAAAAUAUCAAAACAUAAUAAGCAAAAAGAAUGUGUAUCAUAUCACGCGUGCCAUCACUCACGUGAUUGGCUUGUAGGGCACCUAUGACUAGCAUAUCAUGUAUGUUAUGCUAUGUAUUAGGCCAAAUAUAUCAUAUGCUCUGAGUGUCACGAGUAUGUACCAUACGAAUGUAGGCUCAUAGCACUAGAAAGCAGUAAAAUGUCCUUAAGUACUUGAGAAUGACUAAGGAUCUUUUACUAAUAUACGGAGAAAGUGACCUUAGGGUUGAGGGCUACACGGAAUCGAGUUUUUAGUCUGAUGUUGAUGAUAGCAAGUUUAAUUUAGGGUAUGUGUUCACCAUGAAUAGAGAAGUAGUAUGUUUGAAGAGUUCCAAGCAAGAUACCAGCGAUGAGCUGAUUCCCUUAUAUUGUGAUAACGUUAGGACGAUUACUUAAGCAUAGGAAUCUAAGUCUCAUCAAAAGUCUAAGCAUGUUCUAAGAAGGUUCCACCUGAUCUGAGAGAUCGCAGCUCAAAGAGAUGUAGUAGUGGAAAGAGUUACAUCUAAAGAUAAUAUCGUAGAUCCACUAAUAAAGAUAUUGUCUUAGAUUGUCUUUGAGCAUUACAAGUGUCUUAUUGAAAACAAACAUGUAGGUGAUUGACUUUAGAUCAAGUGAGGGAUCGCUAGUUAUAGGUAUCAUGUUAGCCAAUUACGUGAGUGAUGACAUAUGUGACAUGAUACACACUCUUUUUGCUUAUUAAUUAUUUGAUAUUUUUCUCAUUUUAAAGUGCAUAUUGCAUGCAUUUUGAUGUUCAUUGAUCUAUGCAAUGGGAAUCAGAUCAUGAUGAGAUCAUGAUAAUGAGAUUGAUUCACUAUUAAACAUAGACCAUAAAUAAUCCCAAUCAUAGGACACUCAAGAGGGAUAUCGAGAUGACUGAUAGACUGAUGUGUUAUAUACUCAUCCAUAUGAUAUAGGUGGCUGGUCUCAUAACUGCUAGUGUAGGGACACUAGCGACACCACGCAUGUGCUCAUUGGAGAAUGAGUUCACUGAUUGAUCCACUCAUGAAUAUUGGAUGGUUGAUGACACCUCAUUAUCAUACAGUGAUUCAGUCAUCCCAAUGGUGUAUAUGGUCCUUAGACUUAAAACACCAAGGAUGUCAUGUAUAAAUACUUCACUCUUUGAUUCCCAACUUAUAGACCUAGAAGUUUUAAAUCUAGCACAACCGGUCAUCGAGAGUGGUAGUCAAUAUUACGAGGGCUAUUUAUUAUCGAUAGAAGAUCAUCUAUACUUACUAUUAUGAGAAUAAUAUCUCUUUUUUUUUUUCAAACAAAUCCCUAACCAAGGUCAUUCGGAUUGAGAAAGAAAGAGUUCUCCGGGAGAAUCCAAUUAGAGCGAGACUCGAGUAAAAACCAUAUGAGCAUGACAGCACCAUUCCUAAUAUACGAUUUAUGGGAUAUUAGAUGGAUAAAGGACUAUAGAUAUAUGGUAACUAAGAACAGAUAGGUUCAAUAGAUUGGAUUCCCCUAUAUCAUCUGGGGAUUGCGGUGUAGUGGCAUCGUACGUCGGUAGUUGAUGAGUCGAGUGAAUUAUUAUAAAGAUAAUAAUUCACUAAGUUAGAAGGAGUUCUCUUAGAGACAGUUAUAGGUUGUUAGAGGUCAAGGGAAAGGUUAUUAGAGGCAAUUAUAGACUCUUAUGCAUGUGGGCAAACGGGUGAAGGGUGACAUCCAUCUUCUCCUUCUAUCUUGGAUACCAUAUAGUAAUCACAUAUCGAAUAAUUAAUUACUUUAAUAUACAAAUGCUAUUCCUGGUACAAUAUCGAGAUUAUGUGAAAAAUAUACUUAAAAAAUGUCUCUAUUGGUCUCAUCAACACAUAGGAUGUACUUAUGCUAAAAAGAAAAAAAAUACAAAAUAAAACUUAUGCAUUUCCCCCUCAACAUGUUAAAAAUCUCCUAACAUACUAAUAAAAACAUAAGAUAGAAACAAAAAGAAAAAAUAGAAUCACAAAUUUAGGCUCAAACACAUGAUAACAUAAUUAGUAAGCAAAAACUGAGCCUCGACCAAGAAUUGGCCCAUGUAGAUAUAAACCUAAAGUUAUGAUUUAAUCAGCGUUUGAGUGACGUAGGACUAACUUUGAUCAUGGAAAGAUAAAUCGAUUAAAGUAGGAAGAAUCAAACGUUGGGCCAAAAUGGAUCAUGUUAGAGAUUGAACGUCAGGCCAAAGGAUUAGUUGACGUGCUAGAAGAUAGACUUCGUGACGUGAGUUCGGGCAUCAGCCCAGAAGGAUCAGAUAUUACAUCAAGAAGAUCAGAUGUUGCAAGAGAUCAAUGUGCCGAUGGAUCAAGCAAUACGCCAAAAGAGAGGAUGAUGCGUCGAAGGUUCAAACGAAGCACCAGAUAAACCAAUGACAUGCUGGACAACAAAGGAUUCAUAUUUAUAAUCGAUUGUGUCAUGAUCAAAGUAGUUUAAGUUGUAAUUGAGUUAGUUUUGGGUGUGACCAUACUAACUCAAUUAAAGGCUCAUUGGGCCUAAAUCAGGACUGAUUUGGGCUUGCUGAAAGACUCAUUCAAUGACUUACAGUUAGGUCAGGUGGUGGCACUACUAGACCAAGCGGUGGAACCGCCUAUGAGCUGGAAUGUAUGAAGUGCGUGUUUUCCGAGGUGCCGUUAGUGUCAGGCGGUGGUACCGCCCAAACAUAGUCCCCCAGACUAUGUCAGGUGGUGGUACCGCCAGUGCACAUAGUGGCAAGUGGUGGUACCGUCGGUACCUCGAAAAUCGGAGAUUUGAAUUUUUGACUCCAUUUUUUGAAGUCAUUUGGAGUCUAUAAAUACCCCACCUAUUUUUUGCUUGAGAUAACAAGAAAAAGAGUAAAAAUGAUAAAUAAUUCUUGAGAAAAAAAGAAUUGUAAUAUCUCUUGAGUUAUUGAGUCUCUUUCUUAGAGUUAGAAGUGUUCUAAGGAAGGAGUAAGGUCCAAUUGUAAAAGAGAGGUGUGAAUAUUCUCUCUUGAGCCUAUGAAAAUGAGAAAUAAUUGUAACAAGAGUAGUUGAUCUCGUCCGAUGAAAGAAGAUCGUUAGUAAAAGUCGAUGGCCUUGACGGAAGAAGAAUCGGGAGUGAAUGUAGAUCGUAAUAAUCGAAUCAUUAUAAAUUCGAUUUAUAUUUUUUUAUGCUUUUCAUUCCUAUUACAAAUUAAUUUAUUUGUUUAUUAUUCUUAUGUAUAUUUUAAGUUAAAUAUAUUUUUAAUAUGAGUUUCAUCGAUUGAAUUUUCUUAAUCCUUCGAAAGCACCAAUUCCUCCUCCCCUCCUCCCAUUGGGAGUCGAUGUUGAUCAAAACACUAUUAAUUUCAUAUGUGUUAUAGUCCAAUAUCCUUCGUAAGACAAACAUUCAACUCUUGAUAGAUUUAGAAGUACAUCUAAAAACUUAUAAAACGAAUAUUUGUGACCUGUAAGUGAUCAGAUUGGGCAAACUUGAUUGAGCGAACGUAGUUAGUGUGUUGUGUCUAAGAUAUCAAAGAAAAAGUAAAGGGCAGAGACGUUGAAUAUUUUUUUAUAUGUGUAAUAUAUUGCAUAAUUUAUCCCAUCAUUAUUAUUACACGCAGAGUGAGAUCAUCUUUAACAUCGAGAAAUGUAAUUAUUUGAAGCCGAUGAUGAGGAAAAACUCCCUUUAUAUAUUCGGCAGUUUGUGCCAAGUUUCGCACUCAUCUAUUUUCUGACUAUUAACUAACAUCGAGAGAAACCAAAGAUAAAAGCUAUCACAAUUUAUAUAUUUCAAUUAGAGGACAACUGAGGACAAGUUGAUGUGAUACACCAAAUCUAUCUUUUGAAAAUAUCAGGAAAUAAAAGAUUAGCAAAAAUAAUUAAAAGUUUAAAUUUAUUUUUAAAAAAAAUAAAAACGGUGAAAUCGAAUUUUGAUCGUAGGAUAUUUCGAUGAUCUGAUAAAGAUUUUACUGACCGUGCCAAGGAGCACAAAAUUAAAGAACUUAAUAUAUCAUGGUUAAUUUGUUUCACAGUAAACAACGAUUCUGAUAUUAUCGAAUUGAUCUGAUUCAGACACUAUCACUAACUAUCAUUCGAUCUUGGAUGAAAAAACAAAUAAUCCUCUUUAAAGAAUUAUUUAUGUAUCUUUAACUUGAACUAACUAUAAAACUAACUGCAAUCACAUAAACCGUCGAUAUCUUAUGAGGCUUCUUUGUGGAUGAACGCUUCUUGCCUCUUAUCUUUGAAUCCGAUAAAGAAAAAAAGAAAAAGAAAAUGGAAGCAUGGCAUGAGAUAAAAUUGAACCAAGUUUUUAUUUCUUUUCAAGUAAUUAUGUCUGAUGAAUUCAUACGUUUUGCCAACAAAAAUAAUAACAAUCAGAUAUGAAGAAUAUUUAGUCGGAUUGUGAGUUUAAAUAUGAGAAACAAAAUUGGGAAUAUAUUUGGAGGCGUUGAUUCCUUAUCUAUCCUACGAAACUAACUUGUUUGAAUUUAAAUUCGCCAAGCCAGAAAAUAAAUCAAUUUUUUGCCAUCAUAUUUGGGUGAAUAUUCGUGGGGAGUCAUAUUUUUUAUAAUAAAGAAAGAUGGAUUUAUUUGACGGAGGUUCCAAGCGCAACUGCCUGUCCGUUUAACGUGGAGCCCGCCCACGUACUGCUCUGUAUUGUCCAAUCACAGGGCAGGUGACGCACGGGUACGUGACUGUCGGGUGGCGAAAGUGCUUUGUAUCAGGAACUGAGCUGGGUAUCUUUUCCGGGCUGUUUGCAUUGGGUCCGGAACGUCGCUCGGGACCGAACCACCUCUUCUAAACGCUGCUCCCUCGACGGAGUCCGUCGCCCAAGAAGAACCUUCGGACAUGGAGGACGACGACGAGUUCGGGGAGCUUUACACCGACGUAUUCCGCCCCAUCGCCGACUCCCCUCCUGCCCCCUCUCCCGGGACUCGCCCUGAUCCCGUCGUUCCUGCUGCCGACGACGAUAUCGAAGGCGGCGACGGGGACGAGAUAUUGUUCGGCGCCUCUCGUUCUUCCCCCGCCGCCGAACUUCCAUCGGUCCCUCAUCACGCCCUAGCUCCUCCCGCCGCGGCCGCCGCCACCGCCGCCGAAGACUACGGCCAGCGCGAUUGGAUGCUUGGUCACGCGCCUCCCGUGGUGGAGGCACCGGAAAAUUGGGACGACGAAAACGACGGCGUGGUCUCCAGGCCGACAGAGGUCGUUGCACCCAUGGCCGAUAAGUGCGAGCCUAGGGUUUUGGAGGAUGACGAAGAAGAAGCUAGGGUUUCGGAGAUUCCAAAUGGGGAUGGUAAAAUUGGUGACCCUGAGAGGCUUCGAGCCCCAAAUGGGGACGGCUAUCCAUUGUUUGGAGGUGGAGUGGUUGAAAAUUUAGGCGAUCCGGACGAAGCUCCGGUCAUUCCCGGCCUCUCAGCUGAACCAGCCCCUUCCGGGCCUCUGAUCGGCAUGAACAUUGAAGAGAGGAAGCCAUCACAAAGUGAGGAUUGGGACAGCGAUAGCGAAGAUGAUCUCCAGAUCGUGCUGAAUGAUAGCGAUCAUGGACGGCUUGGUGUGGACAGGAAUGAUAGAAUUGGGAUUGAUGAUGAUGACAGGGAAGAUGAUUUGGUCAUUGUCACUGAUGAGGAUCAGCAUCGCCACGUCCCGGCUACGGAUGAGCAAAACUGUGGGGAGGAGGCUAUGCAGUCUACUGGCGAUGGGGAGAGAAAGGAGAUGGUGGAUGUGGCGAAAAUUGCUAGUGCUACCGGAAGUGCAUUGGAGGCGAGGAUUGGGUACAACACUCAUGGGUCUCAUCCACAGCAUCAUUCAAUGUACAAGGUUAAUUCUUAUCAUUCAUCCUUGCUGUGAGGUGGAAACUGUAGGUUUGUGUAUUUUAGCUUUGGCAUUGUUACGUAUUCUUAAAUUGUUUAUUAGUUUCUUAUUUGUUAAUAAAUGAUCGUGGGUGUAAAGCUAAAGUCAUUUUCACAAUUAUAAAUGUGAUGUCUUUUGUGCUACAUGCUACAAUUAUAAAUGUAAAGUCAUUUUCACAAUCAUCAAUUGGUCAUUCAUGGAAUGAGAGGGUAAACAUUUCCAAUAGGUUGCCAAAGAAGGAGCAACGUACAGUGCAAGUUCAGGGCACCUCAGUUAUUGUUAACACCUUCUUAUUUUGUUAUUCAUCUUGCAUUUGCCCAGAUUUUUCUUGGUUCGAUAUAACGGGCUAUCUUUUUGGCAACAAUAGGAUAUGUCCCUCCUACGGGAGUUAUUUUAUCAAAUUGAAGUAAAAUAUCUGAAAAUGUAUAGCAAUUACUAUCAGUUGGAUUAUAAAUUAGAGAAUACUUGAGAAAUAACAUUUAUUUUUGCUAUCAGAUAUGAUAACUAAGGCUAUAUAUUUAAGCCUAAUGUCUUGUAAAAUUUUCUAACUAAUGUAGCAACUCCUGAGCUUUCUUUUGAGAAAUGAAUGAUAUAUUCCUUAACUCUUGUAAUUUGUUCAUUCAGGUUUUUCCCUGCUGAACAAAGAGAAUUUGUGUAUCAGGAGUCAAUAUAUAUUGUUGUUAAGAAAUCUGGGCCAUUGUAACUGUACCUUUAUUACUCUAUGAUCCAGCGUCAUCUAGCAUAACAUGCUUUGAUGUAUUAAUAUAUGGUUCAGGUUGUUUCUGGAUUGAUAUCUAGAAAUCAAUGAAUAUUGGAAGGUUUCCCAUUGUAGUUCAGUUGAUCGAUGUGAAAAUUCUGUCAAUUCUCAUAUCCUGAGUUGGUAUCAUGAGCCAUAUAUUUUGUCUUUGUGCUUUGUAAACAUGAUUUGGAAUAAUGCAAAUUUUUUUCUACUGACACUGGCAGACACUUUGAACUUGAUAGGAUCGAAUGAUCAUGGAUGACAGGCCUGCCAGUUAUUUUAGAUGGAUAAAUUUAUAACGAGUCAGAUAGUAGCUGCAGAAAUAUCAUGAUCAUGUGUGUUUUCACUUUUGUUGUCAUGGAAACCACUUUUAGUGUUGUGUAUUUUCACUCAGUUUUUGUCCAAUCACUCCAAACUUUGAUGCCAAUGUCAUUGUCUGUUGUCAUAUCUUUAAUGGGUAGGUUGUCUUUAUGGCAUCACAACUCAUUAGCUAAUUUUGGUUUGUUUCUUAUGCAGUAUAUAAGACCUGGUGCAGCACCUCUACCUGGGGGCCCUGCUGCUGGGACAGCUUGUCCUCCGGGCGCUGCUCGUCCUCCUCUUAUCUCAGGUCCCCUUUCUGGUGGAGGAAGAGGUGAUUGGAGACCUGCUGGUGGCAGGGGGAUUCCAAAUGGGCCCAAAGGCUAUACUGGCUUUGGUUUCCCUGCUUGGGCCAAUAGUUCAUCCCGUGCUUUUGGCAGUGGACUGGAUUUUACCCUUCCUGCUCACAAGUAAGCUUGUCAUUUGCACACUCAUUUUUGUUUCUUCUAGGAUCUUAGUUUCAAAACUUUGAACCACUUUGUCGUUAUCUUUGCUGUGUAACCAGAUGAGUAAUGCAACUUGUUGUAUGUUGAUCCUUGGUAAAACCUAACUUUUCUGGAAUCUAGAUAGGCUAGCAACAUAUUGUGAACAAGUAUGUAAUACCUUUUCAUAUAUAUGCCUUUUAAUGGAUGGUCUCCAUGCGAUUGUCCAUUGUCUGUUUGAACUUGUGAGAUUAUGUGAGAAAAUAGACUUUUACUAGAAGUUGAGGAAGUAGAAAACUUUAAUUUCAGACAGGGGAAUCUUUUCUUUUUUGUUGGCUUGUGACUAAAGUUGCAAGAGACUUAGAGGAAGUAGAAAACUUUAAGUUCAUCUCACCGGCAGGAUUCUGUUAACUUAUAACUGAAAUUGCAAGAGAAUCAUUUUGCUUUUUAUUUAGAAAUACUACUGCAGGUAUGCAUAUAUCUGUUUACAAUUAAAUUACAUUAACACUGACUGGAUGUCUGCCUUCAAUGUAGGACAACCUAUCCUCAUCAAUAUUUCUAAUUUGAUGCAUGAGUACAAUUAGUGCUCAUCUUGGCGCCAAUCACCGAUCAUUAGAAUCACUGAACAAAAAACAAAUCGUUAAAAUUGGCAUUUCGUAAAAUUUUCACUUUCUUCAGAUGUUCAAGGGGAGUUGCUGGUGAUGAAAUACAUCAUAGAUCCUAUCAUGUUAUGUGUGAAGUGGUAAAUUGAGAACAAGUGCGCUGAAGAAAUAAUUAGAGAUGGAAGAAGAAGGAUGAAAAUGCAUGGGAAGAAACACACUUCUGGUUGAAAAUAUAUGGACUAUGUAAUUUCUUGGUCCACAGGGAAAGUUUGUUGGGUGAUAACCAUGAUUAGGAUUUUGCGCCAUCAGCAAAACUUAGUUCGAGAUUGAGGACUUGAUGAGCUAUCAGGGGAUGUUGCAGAACUUGCUUCUUGGUCAUUCUAGUUUAUGUUUUAAAGUCAUGGAUUCCAUUUGUGUUUGACAUGUGAUAUGUGCUCGCCAUAUAAAGCAGUAACUUAUUAGGUGUACAUUUAUAGUUCAAAUCAUCUUGCUUUUCAAGUUUCUACUAAUUAUGCUAAUUAAGCAGGAUAGCACGCUCCUGCUGAAUUUUUAUUCUUUUUUUGUGGAUCAAUCUUGUCAAAUCAAAGUUGUGUGCAUGUGAACAUACCUAAUCCUUACAAUUCUGAAUGAACUCAUUUGCCUGUAGAUAAGAGGCCAAAAAAUUGAAAGACUUUUUCACUUAACUAUCCUAUCUAUCCAAAUCAAUUUUCAAUCCUCAGGUCAGUUUUUGAUGUUGACAUUGAGAGUUUUGAGGAAAAACCGUGGAGACAUCCCGGAGUUGAUGUAUCAGAUUUUUUUAAUUUUGGUUUUGAUGAAGACAAGUGGAAGGAUUAUUGCAAGCAGCUGGCAAGUGAAAGUCUUGUUGUUCAUUGUGAAUUAUUUAAGGCAUUGAUGUGUUGUUCUUAAUUUGUGAUUGAAGUUUUGAAUUCUCAGGACCAACUUCGUUUAGAGUCAACCAUGCAAAGCAAGAUUCAUGUCUAUGAGAGUGGCCGAUCAGAGCAGGUUACGUAUUUAUAUCUGCUGGAAUCAUGUUUUAGCUUUAGUUGUCAAUAACUUAUAACUCUGCUUUCAGGAGUAUGAUCCAGAUUUACCUCCCGAAUUGGCAACUGCAGCAGGCCAUCACAAUAUUUUUGCUAAUAAUGGGCAUAAAAAAGCAGAUGAUGGGGAAGUAGAUUUUAGUAACCAAGGAAGAGGAUCAUCAGUUAUGCGGGCACCAUUGGUAUGAUCUAUUGAUUCUCUGAACUACUAUAUAGCAUGGGGCUGAUGUUUUUUAUGGUCUUCAAUUGGUUUUUUAUAGAACGGUUUACUGGAUGGAACUUUAAGGUUUCGUCUUUUUUUUUUUUGCUUGUUAGCCAACUGGGAGAGCAAUACAGGUUGAAGGUGGUUAUGGUGAGCGCCUACCCUCUAUAGAUACCAGGCCUCCUCGCAUCCGUGAUGCAGAUGCAGUUAUUGAGGUAACUUUGUGAUAUCUACUUCCAGAUGUUCGUGUGUAUAUCAACUACCAUAUUCUCAUUUAUUAUAUGUACGACUUGUGAUUGUACGACUUGUGAUGGUUACCAAAGUAACGAUAUCUACUUCCACAUGUUUGUGUAUAUCUAAUACACUUGUCUUAUAUGUGAUGUGUAUUAUGUAAUACUUAUUAAUGAUAUCAACAAAUAAAAUUCUUGUCGAACAGAUUGUGUUGCAGGAUUCAUUUGAUGAUCCAAAAAUGUGCAACUGUGCCCCAGAGAAACACAAGAGUGUUGAAAGAGAUGAUGAUAAAUGUUUUCAUGAAGUUAAAAAUGAUGAUAGAAAUACUGUCUCAGGAAAUAUGAGGCACUUUUCACAUGCUUCUGGCAAUAGGAAUAAGGAAAUGACUAGAAGAGCCCUUUCUGCUAAGGAAAAAAAUGAAGUGUUGCUUUUCCCUUCGGAAUCUUCAGCUGAAUACCAUCAAGAUUCAAGAACAAGGAGCCCUGUAUCUCCUGCUAAAGCACUGGGGAUACACCAAAGCUGCAGGUAAAUUGUACUUCAAAAGAAUUUAUGUUCCUUUCAAUUUGUUUUGUAAGCUUCAACUACAUGACAUUUUUUAUCGCUAAUUAGCAAUAUCCAGAAAAACAGCAGGGAGAAAAAGAAAAACAAAAAAGUACAGCAAAGUUACCAUGACACGACGCUUGCCCUCAGUAAAGAAAAGAGAAAUGCAUGUGGAAUUUUCCUCUGCAGUUCAUAUACGUAUAUUGUGUUUUUGCAAUAGUUUUGGUUUGGCAUGAUAAAAUUCGGCAUGCUCAGUGCCGGACCCUAAGGGGUUGUUUUCCUUGUCAGUUAGAAUUGCUGUUUCCAAUAUACUUGGGUUGUCAUAAGAAGGGUUUGACAUGAUUGGUUUUGGUAGCCAAGGAAGAGGACCAGCAGUUAUGCGCAUUUGAUGUGAACUCCAUUCCUUAAAUUCAUUUUCUUUGCUUAUGAAAAUAGUCGAAGCCUGAGACAUGCCUGUGCCAUCUAUUGCAUAGUUUGCAGCAUGUGCAUUCAGCAUUUGACUACUCUACUGCAUCUACCACUCUGGAUACACAAGCAGGAAAUCUUGAUGUUUGAUGACAUGGACCACAACUUUGAGCAACAUUGUCCAGUUACCUUUGUCAGGUCCAAAUAAGAAUAUAAAGGCUUUUGAUUGAUGGAGAAGAAACAUAUUUCUUUUUCUAUUGUAGUAUGUAAUAACAAUUUAAACUGAAUAAAUUAGAUAGAAUUAUUCAAUUAUAGAAGCACACGUUUGGAUGUUCCUCAAAGCUCUAUUCAUUCAGAGAAUCUGAGAUUCUGAGAAGUUGGUGAAUGAUAUUUGCUUUAAGAAGAAAUUGAGGUGUCUCUCUGAAAUCCUAUGAGAUUGACCCAUUGAUGGGUCUUUGAUAUCAUGAUGAACUGUUGGCACAAGUCCUAUCUUGUCAAUUUGGUUGAAGGAGAUGGGGGGCUCAGCAGGAAGAGGGUAUACCAUGAGAGACGCAAGGAAGUUGAUAUGACUCACAUAUAUUAUGGAUUCUACCAACUCAGUUAGCAAUACAUGUGUGGAUUACAUUUUCUUGCACAUAGUUGCAUGAGUAUUAGAAGUCACUUGUCAUAUCAGAUUAUCAGUCUUAUGCAUCUGUGAAUGUCAUUAGCAGUAAGUUUAUAAAGCCACAUCAGGUAAAUGGAGAAAGAAACUAAUUGGAAGCAAAGGAGCUAUGUCUAGGAAUACUGGCAAAUUCUUAGAGUCAUGCCUUUUGACCAAUCGUCAGGCUUAGUGGAUCAUUGAACAGUGAGUUGGUAAAAAACAAGUCAUAUGCUUUUUCAUCCUAUUCUCAAAUUAUUUAGGACACUGGACUUGAAAAAAAAUGUAAUUUGAUGUUACAAAUAAUUAUUUGUAUUUUUGAAUGUGUUUUUUCUAGAUUUAUCUGAUGUGUAUGCGUUGAUUUGCUUAAGAUACUGUGUUUCUGGAUACAUACUAAUGUGGGAUUGCUGAAUUGAUACCUCAGGUUGCCCCAGGGAUCUUCACAUAGAAGAUCCUCCAAUGGUCGUGAACAAUCUAUUGAUGGCAUCCCUAGUCCAAGUGUCCACUCAAACAGGCUUGGUGAUGAGGAGGAGACACAGGAUGAUAGCACUGGAGUUGAUCGGAGUUCUGGAAAAUCAUCUUCUGUUGCUGAUGAUACUGUAAAAGAGCUGAGUGUUGAUGAGCAAUGCUGUGGGCAUGAUGAAAAGCUUACACCAGUUAGCAUUGAAAAUGAAGGGGAGGACAUGGUGUCAGACGUACAUAUUCCUAAUGAGACCAGCGACAAUGAUAAAUUAGUUCAAACUGGCAAGAAGCAAAAGCUUUCAUCACUGGUUGAGCAACCUGCAGGGCAUGAUAGUGGUCAUGAGGAUGAGUUGCAAACCUCAAAUAGUGAUAACAGUAGACAGAAAUCUGGGAGCAGUAAGGAUUAUCCAAAGCAGACUGAAAAUGGUGAUAAAGUCAUACAAGAAGAACAUUCAAUUCAGGUGGGUCACUUAAAAAGACCCCACAAAGAAGAAUGUUAUUUGCGACCAAAAGAUGACUAUGGUCUGGAUGCUAGACAAGUGAUGAAGAAAGAUUACAUUGUUUCCAAAGGAAAGGAUGAUACAUCUGAUUCUUAUAAGCACCCUCUUCGAAGUAGAAGCUAUGAGAGGAAAAAGGAAUCAGAAUCUUCUAUCAGUUCUUGGCAAAGAAGAGAGGACAAUGUACACAGUAGAAGAGUCAAAGAUGAAGACAGGAGGUGGGAGAAUAGUGAUGAAAUGGUGUCAAAGCACAGGAGCAAGUUAAGGGUGACUGACAGAAACCCGAAAGAAGAAGAUCAUUCAAAAAAGCGUGUAGAAGAUAGAGACUGGAGAGGGCAUAAUAGGGAUGACGUCUUAUGGCAGAGGUCAAGAGAUGAUCUUGUGAGUCGUCAUGAAAGCACAGACGAACCUCUCAUUAAAAAGAAAAGGGAUGAAGAAUAUCUAAGAGGCAAAGCUGACAAAUUAAGUACUCUGCAUGGUUAUAGGGAUGAAGAAAAUUCUGGGAGAAAGAAAAGAGCAAGGGAUGAUGCCAUAGAUCAUAGGAGGAGAGAGGUUGACACUAGAAUGAGAGAUAAGGCUGAUGAUCACUUAUCUUCCAAUCAUAAAGAUGAUAACUGGCGCUAUAGGGAGAGAGAGGAUAGGCAGCGACUUAAACCUCAUGAAAGUGCACCGAUGCACCGGGAAAGAGAAGAAGGGCGGGGGUCUGUAAGGAGUGGGCGGGCUAUGGAAGAUAAAGCAUCGGGUGGUAGUGCUAGGAAUAGGGAUGAAUCAAAGACUAUAGUCCAUGAUAGUAGGGUUCAUCAAGAGAAAGAAAGAAGGCAACUUAAUGAUCAUUCAAAGAGGGAUCAUGGUAGGGAAGAUGAUGUACAAAAUAAGGGACGCAGACAUUUAUCUGUGCGUGAAAAAUAUUCAAACAAUGACAGAAGAAACUCUAGGCAUGAAAGGAUGAACACGUACAAGGACUGCCCUCCUAGUGCUGAUGGCAAGCAGAUGUACAGGGAAAGACACAAGGAAAAUACAAGGAAAUCCAAAGAUUCAGAAGCUCAUGAGCAGCACAGCCAGGGGCUUGGUAAGAGAAAGCAUGAAGACCGCCACACCGCUCAAACUGACAAGGUAUGCUUCAGAAUAUUGAAGCCAUAUAUUAUAUCUUUUACUGAUGAAGUAAGCCUCUGUAUCAAUAGAAGAUAAAGAACAAUUGAAAUCUUUCCCAAUUUGGUCAUUGUCACGAAACAGCAAAUUUUUAGAUUUUUUUUUCCACAUCAAACAAGCAGAUUUAAAUUGAAGAUGCUACUAUUACCUUGUCGAUAUUGAAGGUCUGAUGACAUUGUAUCUGAUGACCAUUGUUUACUGUUAAUGGCCUGCAUUUUCCAUCUCAGGAGUUAUUUGGUCAUGGCAUAUCUAUUAUUUUUUUGUAAAAUCUGUUUUUCGUUUGUAAAUAGUUAUGCAUAUUUAUUGGUACUUGAAUUGACUCGCACAUGCACCCGCAUUUGCAGCUGCAUACUUCAUAUGGAUUUUAAGUGCAUUACAGUCAAUUUUGUCACACUUCAGGUUUCUUGUAGUUUAUGACAUAUCUUUGUUCCUCCCUUGUGUGUGUUAGUGUUUUUUAUUGGAAAAUAUGAUUUGAAAUUCAGAUACAAUCAUAGGUUGCUAGUCAUAUGAUUCACAUCCAAUCGAACAAUGUUGUAAACACUAAAUAGAUUCAUCGUAUUAAGUUAUUAUUUGGGCCAAGUAGAUUCCCUCCCUUAGGAAAGUCCCUUACUGAUGGUACGCUUGCUUGCCAAUUGUUCACUUUUCUCAGGUCUAUAUUAGAAGCUUAAAUGAGCAAGAAAGUAACAACAUUUCCUCCACCGAUCUCUCCAAGGAUCCCCACCAAAUUUAUGAAGAACCGGAGGCCCCCCAGCAAAAGAAACAAGAGGAAGCUGAUCCUGCCUCAGAUGAAGAGAACCAGGGUUCCAGGAAGGGGCGAUCAAAAUUGGAACGCUGGACCAGCCACAAAGAGAGGGAUUAUGAUGCCACUGGCAACACACACACAUUAUCUGCUUCCUCAGGGGUUAAGAAAAUUGAAGGCGAUAAUGUUGAUGUGGUGCAGGCAGAUGAAGGAGCCAAAACUGAAUUUAAUAAUGCCGGUGAAUUAGAUGGCAAGGAUGUUGAUGGAGGCCAAAUUGUGGAUAAGACGGUGGAUGAGCCAGACCACCACCUAGACACUAUGGCUAAGCUUAAGAGACGAAGUGAGCGCUUCAAACUUCCUAUGCCUAUUGUAAAGGAGACUACAUUGAGCAAAAAAUUGGAAAAUGAAGUGCAGUCAUCCAAUAAUGAAGCUGCUCUUGAUUCAGAGGUAAAGCCAGAGCGACCAGCUAGGAAAAGGAGGUGGACUGGUAGUAGUUGAUUAUGGCUCCUUGAGGAGAUCAUGCCAAUUGUGCUCUCAUGAAGCAGAUGGGUGAGUUAGCCCUGUGUUAUAGCUCAAGUAUCAUCACUUCCCCUACACACCCUUCCUCUUCUCCUUACUCCCAAGCGUAAAGCAAGUACAUGAGAGGAAAUGGGUGUGUAACUUAAAACAUUUUAGAUGGUGGUCUGAGGUUUGUACUUCCUUUUCCUUUUUUUGCCCUGGUCAGCCAGCAAGUUCCGAUACCGGAGGUUCCUUCCUGUUUGAGGGGGCUAGAAAGGUUUUCAGGAUAAUGUUUGUGGAGUUUUUGAAGCUAACUGAAGCUGCAAUCAUGGGAUGGUAGAAUUAUCUGACAUCCUGGAAGACAAAGAUAUUACAAUAUCUGAAGGGGGUGGAGCAGCAUUGCCUCUUUUAUCUUAUUUUGUUUUCAUCUUUACUAUGAUGCUCCUGAAGACGGGUGGGAAGGCAUCAUUGCUGGAAACUGAAUAGCUGAUGCUGCCAGAGAUCAUACAUUGGUCAUGUGCUCAUCUAAAGUGUCCAAGUCGAGGAACAAGAUCUGUAAAUUGUGGGCGGUUAAAGUCAGAUCAGACAAGUGCAGAUCUGUGGGUCUUCUAAUCUCAUUGCUUCUGUUCAUAAUCGCACAUUGGUGAUUGACGUGCUAUGCAGUUCGAGAGGCUACCAGAUGCCUUCUUAUGAUCAUGAAGACCUAGCUGCAAAGGUUGCAUUGCAGCAAAAAGAAAGUUCCCCUGAAACUAAUUCUACAGAGUGAUGAUACAUCGAACUUUUUUUACUUAAAUUCUUCCUUUGGCCCUACGAUGCAGCGUCAUAUUCUAUAAUCGUAGAUAGAAGAUCUUGAAGACAAUGUCCAUACUCGAAAAUUAUUCAACGGAGAAAGGACAUGUAAUAUCUUCCCUGCUUCUGUUUUGUUCAUUGACAAUUGUAGUUAGGUUGAAUGUAUUGGUAAACUAUAUGAGCACCUGCCCGAAGAGACAUACCAUACGGUUAGACAUAAAUUAGGUCAUCAAUAUUGAGACUGACACUGAAUCCAUUUCCGAUAUGUUUGACUUGCUUACUGUGGCAUUUGUUUGUGAAACUUUCUGCUUCAUCCUCUUCUUGAUCUUAGAUCGAAACAGGUUUUUUGUCAAUUUAGAUAAACUAACUUGUACUGUAUCUUCCUAGUCUAAUAAUUAGUCAGCUUAGUUAAGGGCAUUAGCCUAUUAUUGGUGUCCUUUUGCAUGUUCAGUGGCCAUAACAGCUUUAUUAUAAACUUCCAAUUUGGCCAUCCACUGACUUUACAAAACUUCCUCACUUGUCUUAUGCUGACACGCCAUAAUUUCUAGCUCCAUUUGCCAAGGCAACUUGCAAUAUAUCUCAAUAACAAUUCAAUCAUGAUGAGUAUCUAAUGGAACGACAUUUGUGUUAAUAACAUAUUCAGCAGCAUCAUGGAUGCCCUAUUGCCAAUUUUUUUAUGUUUCUGAUCACAUGCUAUCCUUGCUGGUGAAUGAAAUCUAGCAAACAUUGCACGGAUGGACAACUCUGAAGCCUCGGGGAAGGUUUGCCACCACCUGGCAUCAAUAUCAUAGAUCCUUCACGUUCUAUGCACUUCCAUGUUAGUCGUUGAACCCUUCUCCUAGAUUGUAUAACUGCACAUCAUGUUGGAAUGGGCAUGUCAACAUGGUCUUGUUUCUUUGACAAACAACGCACAACCGAAGCCUUGGCUACUUGGUUUGCGCUGCUCCGUUUGGAUGCAUUCGAUUGAGUUCCAGCAUUCUAUUUCUCCUUCAUGGAUAUGGUUUCAUUUUGUUCGACUCCACGUAGUUAAUAUUAUUAAUUGAAUCAACUCACGAGGCUAAGCCAAUGCUUACUAAGAACUUUUGUCAUGAUUGUAGCAAGUUUUAUUUGCGUUCUUUAAGAUUGAUUACACAUGGUCUCGACUUGAGACUCUUGCAAGCUAAUUAAUUAUUGCCAAUGACAUGAGGACAGGACCAUCGGUUGCAUGCUUCGUUAUUGCAACUCAUGGAUCUGUUAGCCUAGAGUUAGGGCACAACUGGGCUCUAUAAAUAACUCGACAACUUGUGACUCGUACGCUUACCUCUCAUCUUAUUUUAACGUAUGAUCAAACCCCGUCAAGUCUUAGAGGAGCCGCCAUAAAGUUUUGGCAAACAGCACGCAAAUGCCGGUCUUCUCCCUGAGGAAACUUAUUUUAUAAUUAUGCUUAUUUGUCUCGACUGAGUUGCUGUGUUUCUAUUUAUUUAUUGAGCCUUGCAUGGUGCUCGAAUAUCCUUUUAGUGUCAAAUGUUUUACUUCCAAAUUCAUCUAUCAGAGGUGAGAGUUUGGUGGAAGAGAUAUAAGAUAAUAUUUGGAAACAAGUUUUCAUAUAAUUGCCACACUUUAGGACAUGAAUCCUUAUCCGUCUAUGGGGAUCAAGAUAGUCUACCUAAAAGUGGUAUUUAUUUCAUCUUUUCAUAAUAGUAUUAUAUUUUUAAAAUUAUUAAUUUAGAUUUUGAUUGUUCGAUGAUGUGGAUGUUAAUUCAGAAUCAAUCAAGAUUUUUUUUUUUUUAUGCAUCUCUCUUCUAUGAGUGAUGUGGUGUUAGGCGAAUAAAAGUCCAAAUGGAAACCUGCAAAAAUACUUAAAAGAUGUCUCCGAGAAAACCUCUCGCAUGAUUAAGUUAAUUUAAAUUUGACUUUGAAUGAUUCAGUUUAAUGUCGAAUCUACAUGAGCAUAAGUGUGUUGGAAAAGUGAAGAAGUACUUGAGAACCUUUUUAUACUUCUUAUUAUAUUUCAGGUUGUAGUCAAAUAUUUGAAAUGGUUGUAUUUUCUCUUGUCAUUGAUGCAAUCAUGCUAUAUCAAACUAACUGACUGAGUCGAUCAUGUGAUUGGCAGAAUACUGAUUGUUAUGUCAUCCUCGGAAUGAUAAUGUGAUAUAAUUCACGUCAUAACGAGGUGUUGGUCACAUGACGAUAAGGUAUCGAUCAUAUAAAUGUUAUAUCGUUUAGUGUUAUGAUCCUCGUAUCAAUAAUAUAUCCUUAAUAAGAAAUAAGAUAAAUAAAUUAAGUGCAUCUUUUUAACAAUCUCUGAUUUUAUGAGGUGACUGAAGCGAUCAAAUAAACUUAAACAGUGUGCAGCAUGCUUUUCAUUAAUCCGUCUUAGUGUGUGAUAAUAUCAUGAUGGAUAGACUUUCCAUAUAUCUGCCAGCCACGAAACAACGUGUGCUUUUACCAAACAAGGCGUGACCAGAGAACAUAUAGUGCGUCAAGUCGUCGGAGGACGAUUCCACCAGAAGAAUCCUUACCGUGCGAUGCAUAAACACAUGGCUUCUUUACUAGUUUAUCACAUACCGUCUUCGUCUUCAUAUCUAUAGUCAACAGCUGUUUCUCAUUUACUUGUCUUCUUGGUUGACAAUUAACAGGCUACUGUGUGUGUACAACAUUGGUUCUUCACCAAGUCUACCUUUCUCCUUGAGGAUUUGCUUGUUUCGAUUACACGAAAGUGACAUCUCUCGAAAGCUAUCUAUCUUCGUCCCCACCCAGAUUCACCUCAUAUUCUUCACGUGUUAGUUGAAUGGCCUACUCCAACUCUUUUCAAUGCUCUUAUUCUUUGCGCUUCUUACGGACCAAUCCGGUUGGGGAAGCCCGAUGAAUAGAUGGAAUUACUACAGACUUUGGACGAAAAAUCUUUGACCCCGCGGGAUGUCCGCCCAACAAACGAAAAUUUAUAUUGGGAGUUUUUCGAUACGAACCCUCUUGAGGUUGGAGCAGAAUAUGAGGGAGUCGUUUCAUCUAUCUUUUUCGAAUUAACUUCUUUUCAUUUCAUAGAUGGGUCUAACUAUGAGACGAUUGUCGAUUCAAUUUUAGGAACGAAUCCCGAUCGAUUAGGUCAGGAGGAGUGUUACGAUGCGUGGUGAUGAUCGUCGAUGAGAGGCAAAAGGGAUUCCGAGAUGAUAAACUCAUUCUAACUAGUAUUCCGACUUGUCCAUUAAAGAGUAAUGUAUGUUUGACUUGCAUAAGGUAGAUUUGAAGUGCCCCGAGAUGGCCAUGAUGGUUUGGUGGUGGUAAUAAUAGCUGAAACGAAGGCGCUUGUUUCCAGAGAAGUAGCUGUCAAAUGGUUGGCACAUGGGACAACCCCUUUUUCCCACGUGUUUCACCAUUAUACUUUUCCGGCUGCACAACACAACAAGCUCCUUAUCUUUUCUGAAAGCGAAGGGGAGGGUGAGGAGAGUCCACGCAUCUUUCAUGGGACCGACCGAGCUCAGCGAGAGAGAUCCAACAUAGCAGUCGCCUUCCCUUUUCCCCUUGUUGAUUGCAAGAGAUCACAGCCGAGUUCAUGUGAUCCACCAACCUCAGCGCUCGGCUGUCCCUUUGUGGAGUUCAGAUUCUUUCAAACGCAAAUGAUAAUUCCAACGUGAUCUUAAGAUGUCACACACCCUUACUCUGUUGUCCCAACUCCCUCGCCUAUUCUAAUCUGGAAACGAUAAAAGAAUUCCUCUUCAUGGGGCCCCAUCCCGAAUUGUCAAGGUUAUCUGUAAUCGCAAGAAAUCUGGUGGAGAAGCUCUUCUUCCGAGGCAGCUGAACCGAGUUUUGCAGACGUGAACUCUGUUGCCGUUUCGGUGAUGAUGAAUAACGAAGGCAGGCAUCGUGACGACGGUCGUUGUGACAGUAAUGAAGGCAAGCUUUCGAGUGGAGGAGAAUAUGACACCACUGUCUGUUCACAUCGAACGUAAUCAUCACUUCAUUUCAUUUACAAGAAGCGGCAGAGCAAUUUCAAUAUGAUCGUGAAGUCAGCCGAUUUCUUCUCUUUUUUUGAUGCCCAGAAGAUAAGUAGUGCAAUUUCAAUAUGAGAUCCGCUAUCAGGAACAAGUUAACAACCGAGAUCCUUGAUAUCUGGAGGUACCCGACACUAUCCGCAUUAGCAAACGAAUGCAAUGAGAUCGCAAUAUCCAAAGCAGACGUAUGAAACAUACAGAUGACGAAGAGGAACCGGUCUUCUCCCUCGGGCAUCUGAAGUCAGCAGUAGGUCAUAUCUAAGUAUUUUUGGCCGUCGAAUCGAAUGGUGGACGGUGGACGAUUCUGUGCAUCCAGCGGCUGCCACUGUAUGCGGAAAGCCAAGUGUCAUCUCAAGAUGAAUUGUUGUUACGGGUGGUGGCGUACACUUCCGACCUAAAUAGUGGGGUGGACUGAAGACUUGCUUGGCGGUAUAAGAAGACCGCAAAGCCUUCAUGAGUACAGUGACCGGGAAAAGAGUCGAGAUGUUCACACGGAGGCUCUUCGAGUAUAUGAGGAGGAGGAGGAACCAACUAGGAUCGUUGAAACAAGGAGCUUUUGGAUAAGGUGUAGACACAGGUUUUCCUUCAUCCCCUUCUGCUCCCGUAUCCCGUGUUCUUUGAUUUCAUGGUCUUGCGGUGUCUGAUCUAGGUUGUUCUUCGUCGUACAAGUCGUGGAAAUCUGAUCUCGGUGUUUUCUGUAAUGAGAUCGAUGCAGGUUUAUUGCGAGGCUUCUCCCCUUUUGAGGAUAGAGCUAUUCACAGGCUAGCUUAGACCUUCUAGGUUUUCUCAUCGUCUGAUGACGAUUCUUUCUUAUAAGAAAAUAGAUGGUUUUGGGGGCCUACGAGCAGCACUUCAUCUCCUUUUCUUCUUCUAACAUCUUAUUUGUAUUCACAUUUUUCUUUUCCUUCAAUUAAUUUUUUUGAUCGGUAUCCUUUUUCGCACACAUAGCGAAUGGAUCGAGCAAGAUUCGAAGGCGGAUUUCUGUUUACCUUUUGUUGACACUGGCACUAGCAAAAAUUUUUAGCUCUAUUUCUGGCUAACCUCAACAAGAGCUUCAGAUUUCGGACGUAUUGCAUGUUUAAUUCUUCUUCUUGAUUUAGAUCAUGUAAACGUUAUCCUUUCGUCGAACAGACUGUCAUACAACUGCUCAGCUUGAGCUUGUCCUCGGUCGCAGAUCUCUUUGUUUUAUCAUAGAGAUGGAGCAAUCAUCAGGCCAAUGGCCGCCACCUGAAGAAGUGAGUACUGACAGUACUACCCUCUCAGGACCUCAUUAAUCUUAUAAUCCAUGUGUAUGUACGAAUUACAACUGAGUGGUCAUGUGUGAGGUUACUGUCCUGUAUAGGAAAACAGCGAUCUUUCCUUCAUCUACCAGCCUGAGAUGAAUUCUCUGGACAUGUUCACGGCAAACCAAAUCAUGGAGUCGCUUGGUGAAGAGCUCCAUCAUCAUCAUCUUCCCUCGGGGUCUUGCUUCCCCUUCGAUUCGGCUGGGAGCAGUGAGUUCAACAACAACGCCAGCGGCUCUCUCGUGGGGAUUCCAUAUGGGACGCGUAUGACCACCGCUGUUACCAACGAGCUAGUCUCGGUUGAGGCACCACAAGCCUCCCCCAACUUUCUCUCGUUUGGUAAUCAGGAUUCGUUGCAUGAUCCACCGCAACUGUAUAUGAAUUCUGGCAAAGGGGUUGUGGAGCCACAGAAUGAGAUCACAAGCCUGUUCUCUCAUGGUUCGACAUGGAGUGAAGACACUCUCGAGUUCCAAAGACAGGAGAAGAAGAGCAUGGGGAGCAGACCACCUUCUUCCGCUCAAGAUCAUGUCAUUGCUGAGAGGAAACGGCGAGAGAGACUUAACCUGCAGUUUAUAGCAUUAUCCACGAUUAUCCCCGGAUUAAAAAAGGUGCUGCUUAUUCUUUUCAUCUCUGUAUAUGUUGCUUGAUUCAUCUUCUUGAAUCGUGUUCUUGUUGCCACACUGUGAUUCUUAGGCAACCUACAAUAUCAAUGGCUAUGUUGAUGACCUUACUUAUAUAAACUCUUCUUUCUCAUGAGCAUUAUUUUAUGCGUUGCAUAAAUGAUUCCCAUGAAUGCAGAUUGGAAGAAGAAUUAGAAACUAGCAAUGCGGAAGGACACUUAGGAAAAAGCUAUAAUGCUCAAAGGAAACAAAGCAACAUUGGUUGCUUCUUCUUAGAACUAUAAGCACUGAUGCAGUUCAGCGGAUCUUUUGUUUGUGUGGCAUGCAGACCGACAAGGCCACUCUCCUUGGAGAUGCAGUCAACUACAUCAGGCAACUGGAAGAGAAGGUGAAAACGUUAGAAGAGAAGGCUUCGGAGAGGACUGUGGAAUCCACCAUCCUUGUCAAGAAGACUCACAUCCCCACCGGUGACCACACCUCAGAUGCCGAGGGAAGUCCUUUUUCUGAGGCCUUUCCCAAGAUCACGGCCAGUUUGAAUGGGAACUCCAUCCUCGUGAGGGUUCAGUGCGAGAAGCGAAAGGGGCUGUUCGUGAAGGUGCUCUCCGAGAUCGAGAGGCACCACCUCUCUGUCAUCAACACAAACGUCAUGCCGUUUGCUUCCUCCUCUCUCAAUAUAACAGUGACUGCACAGGCGAGUCGAUACCAUUUUCUUCUGCAUUCCUGCAAGUUGCAGUCCUGACAGGAUUAUGCUUAUCGUAUCUUUUGAUACAGAUUGAAGAGGGAUUCUCGAUGACGACGACGGAUCUCGUGAAGGACAUAGACUCAGCUCUUAGCCGGUCCAUGUGAAGAAGAAAAUACUCCACAAUCUCUCGUUGCUGUUCCAAGAGAGCGACUAUUCUUCUUCUUUUAAGCUUUCUUUGUCCCUUGUAAUUACGAAGGAAAAAGGCUGAGCUAUAUGGGUAGUUUAGCUUCAGCUGCUAUUCCGAUAAGAACCAUCUGCUGUAUCCUCCGACUCCUAGAAUUCACAAAGAGGAAUGGAAAACGGAAGCUUCUUCUCUUCAGAGGCUAUAUAUAUUAAAGAGUGUUGCGGGGAUAUGGACUUAUGUGUGGGUAUUAUGCGUGGAAAUUACUUCCGAUUCUAACUUAAUAAAUAGGUUAAGUUUAAUAUAGGGAAGGGAGAUGGAUGCUUUGUUUUUGACUUUUGAGUUCCUCCUACACAGCGGUCUGUGGAUGAGAGAUCAUUUGUGUAUAGGCCGCUAUUGGGUCAACCCAACUUCCAAUUGGCUAAUGGAUUUUGACCAAGAUCUCAUGUACGCUUGCAAAAGCUAGAUUGGGCUGGGCUUUAUCUCGAAUUAACCCAUUAAGGUUGAAGGCCCACUUCAUUUUCUAUGAUGCAACUUCCGAUCCGUUCAUGGAUGCUGAACUCCAAAUGGAAGCUGCAACUCGAGUGUUUCUUAGAGUUUCAGAAAAUAAUUAAUUCAUCGAAUAUUUUGGUUUCUUAUCAAUUAAGUCCAAUAUAAAAACAAAUUUAUGAUCUAUGCGACCUUCGCAAUACUCUAACCAACUGAGUUAAACGAUACGAUGCAAAAAAAUAAAUUUUAAGAACUUUAUUUUUUAUUUUUUCUAUAUUAUUGUAAGAUAUUAUUUUGAGAGCUUUAAGUUCAGGAAAGUCUCGAGCUGAGACAGACAGACUGUUGAAUCAUUUAGGGUUUGGAGAAGUUUAAUGUGUAUCAAAAGAAUAGUUUUUGUUGCUUUUUCGGUGUGCUCGUCUGUUCCUCUGUUGGCAUCCUAAAACUUGCCCAUGCUAACAUCACACUUCUUUAUAGGGGUGGGUGGAGAGUCGGACUAUCACAAGAUUCAGAUCAAACAUGCCUCCUCUGUUGAAAGAGGUCAGACCGGAAGCGAUGCAGAUAAAGCCACUACGAACAUGCUUGUUGCCUGCCUUCACAGCUCUUUGGUCUGGAGAACUGACCUAAAAGAUGGGGCCUGUGCGACCUCAGCUAGAGAGGACAGGCAGUUACGUCGCAGAGCUCAUCGGGUUCUCACCAAGCUUCUGAAGUCAGCGAAAGCUAGUGAGGAGGAUGGCGUGCACUGCUGAGCGAUCUCACCAACUCACUCCUCCCUUGUCUCAUUGCAGUUCCAUCCUAAAGCUUUCAUAGCGUUGGUUGGAUUCUUGUUAACUCAAUCUAGCUUUAAAAAGGUGUUACGGUUUCCAUCUUCUUCAGGAUGAGAAGUGCAGCUUUCAUGCACUUGUGAUUAGUGUGUGGAGUUUUAAGAUAAAACUAUAAAUGGCUUACAAGUUCAUUACCAUUUCACAUGGAAUACAACACUAAUGGCCGCUGCAUUGAUGGCUCUUCUGGAGCUAUUUAAUGUGUGGUCAGCGAUGGCACUCAGAGAACAUCGUAGUUCUCCUCCAAACAUCUUCUUUUUUUUUUUCGCCUCCUCUCCUGAUCCUAUAAUUUAAUCUUACAACAGCCUGCUAACUCAAUAAAAGCCUGAUCGAGAUGCAUCAAAAAAAGAUGCAGAUCCAACCAUGGGGUACAGUGCCAAAGUCACCAUCUUCUCCUGCCUUGGUAUGCGCCAUUUGACCCACCAUGGCCUGCAUCCCACAGAACUAGAAGAUCAACAGCAUCCGGCAUUGCAAUCGACUCUGCUUUGUGUUUCCUAGAGCUAUUUAUCACGGCAAAACGACAAGCGCAUCGAGCAAUCGACCCAGUUCCGAGACACCAUGAUUUGAGCCAUUAAUUGGUUCGUGUUUGAUUUCUGUAGACGAAGAAGAAGAAGUAGGAGAAGGUGUACAAGCGUUGGAAACAGGGAGACUCUGGGAUGGUGUGAAUAAGCCACGCACCAUCCAAAAACCAGGAGACAAGAAGAUCGCCAUUCGAGACUGUUACACUCUCCCCGAAUCCAACCCUCCCUCGCUCCCCAACAGGCACUUGAUGAGCUUUAAUAAUCACCACGCUGACAUAAAAAUUAGGAACUAUUUAAGAAUUGGUUUAAUGGCAACAGAGGAGAGAAACUGAAGCAGAUAAGAUAAACUAAGGGCAUAAUUAACACAUAUUUAGCAUUAGCCUUGGGUAAUUAAGACAGGCUCGAAACCUUGCUUGUAUUCGAUACAUCAACCUUCCAGAAAAUAAAAAUUAGCGUAUACAGCUAUCUGGAUCUUAGCCUGUUCCCAUCCCUAUGAAGUCAUUUUGAGAUCAUCCGUGAGAUAAUUUGUUCUGGGCACCUAAAGAGUAGAAAAAGCUAUGUGUUGGGUUCAUAUGCAACAAGGGAAAGCCAAGGGGAGAAGGGGUGGCCUUUACUGUUCUAUUGUAUCGAGGAAUAGCGUCGAAUCCUGUACAUGGGGGACCGCGAGAUGGCCGGAGACCACGAGCCCUGUGAUGUUGUGGUAGAAGUAGUAUACAUAUGAUUUUGUGGAAAUCGAGGCUUCGGACUUGGGUUUGAGGGCGACGACUCGUGCGGUCGAGGGAGAGCAGCCAGUGGAAGACGACGGAGGGGCUGCUGCGGCAUUCCCUUGGCUAUGGCCACCGCCUCUGUGCACAAAUUCUGGCUCAUCGAAACAGGCUGACAGCAGCAGUCUGUGGAGGUUCGUCGUCGGCAUAUUUCAAGUUGCCAGCCUCAUGCAACAGUUGCGGUUGCAAACGUCGGAGAGCGACAGCUGAUGGAGUCCUUCCUGUCUUGGAAACAGACCGUCGCCAGUGGAAGUCUAAGAAACAAAAUUACCGUCACUUCGAUUAUCUCGGACUCGAUGGCAAUGAUUGACGCUGUUGAGAUCAUGAAGCUCUGCUCUUCUCCAAAUUUAGUGUAAGAUCGAUCAUGAGUGCCGAUUCACUUAAACCGGCAGAAUCCUGCAGCACUGCACCACAUGUUGUUCCAUUCCAUUGACUUGGAUGGUAACUUUCAUGCCCGGGGCACCUCCUCCGGAACUCAUCGAUAUGCCGGCUCUCUUGCAUGCAAAACCAACCGCCUGCUCUCUGGUUUCCACCACCACUCGUCUCUUUACCUCUGACCUCCCUCCCCACCAUACUAAUUCCCCGUGCCUUCUGCUGCUACGGAGAGUAGAACAGGUCCUUUUCUAUGCCACGGCCCCACAAGAUCUUUAAAAUAAUUAUAUAAAACCCAUCAAUUCCCGAAUAGAUAUUAUUUAUACCUCCAUAAAACCUGCACCCGACGCUCCCCACUUCCCCCAAGAGUUCAACAGAGGCGAGAGACAGAGAGAGAGAGUAAUGGCGUCUCUCUACUGCCGCCGCCACCGUCAGCUCCUCCUUAUCUUCCUCGUCCAUACUAUCGGGUCAUUGGCGGCGGCGGAGGAGGCGCUGGAGGCUGACGCCCUCCUCGCGCUCAAAGCGGCCGUCUCAGACCCCUCUGACGCUCUCUCUGCCUGGAACAACUCCGCCUCUGGUGGCCAUUGCUCUUGGCCGGGCGUCGCCUGCGACCCCCUGCGGGGCUUCGUCGUCUCCCUCGACCUUACUGGCUUCAACCUUUCCGGCACGCUUUCCCUGGCCGUCGUCCGCCUCCGCCACCUCCUGAACCUCUCUGCAGCCUCCAACUCCCUCUCCGGUCCCAUCCCCGCCGAGCUCUCCCGCCUCUCCAACCUCCGCCAUCUCAACCUCUCCAACAACCUUUUCAAUGGCUCCUUCCCCUCCGCCAUCGUUCGCCUUAAGAACCUCCUCGUUCUCGACAUCUACAACAACAACCUCACAGGGCCCCUCCCCGCCGAGGUCUCCGAGCUCCCCAACCUCCGCCACCUCCAUCUCGGCGGUAACUUCUUCUCCGGCGUCAUCCCGCCGGUGUUCGGCCGCUGGGAGUUCCUCGAGUACCUCGCUGUCUCUGGCAACGAGCUCGGUGGCCCCAUUCCGCCGGAGCUCGGCAAUCUCACCCGCCUCCGCCAGCUUUAUUUGGGCUACUUCAACAACUUCGAGGGUGGCAUCCCGCCAGAGAUCGGUGGCCUCCCGGAGCUCGUUCGCCUCGACAUGGCCAACUGCGGACUCACCGGCGAGAUCCCGCCGGAGCUCGGCAACCUCCAGAACCUCGACACGCUCUUCCUCCAGGUGAACGGUCUCUCCGGAAGACUACCGGUGGAGCUCGGCCGCCUCCGCAGCCUCAAGUCCAUGGAUCUUUCCAACAACGCUCUCACCGGCGAGAUUCCCUCCUCCUUCGCCGACUUGCAGAACCUGACUCUGCUUAACCUGUUCCGAAACAAACUCCACGGGUCGAUUCCGGAAUUCGUCGGCGACCUGCCGGCGCUGGAGGUGCUCCAGCUCUGGGAGAACAACUUCACCGGUGGGAUACCCCGACGGCUCGGCCAGAGCGGACGGCUCCAGAUCGUAGACCUCUCGUCGAACAAGCUCACCGGGACUCUGCCGCCGGACCUCUGCUUCGGCAACAAGCUGCAAACGCUCAUCGCCCUCGGUAACUUUCUCUUCGGCCCUAUACCGGAGACCCUUGGCCGGUGCGAAUCACUCGGUCGGAUCCGGAUGGGGGAGAACUAUCUCAACGGAUCGAUUCCUCAUGGACUCUUCAGCUUGCCCAAGCUCUCCCAGCUCGAGCUCCAGGACAAUCUCCUCACUGGCGGGUUCCCAGACACCGGCGCCGCUGCCAUCUCGCCGGACCUCGGACAGAUUAGCCUCUCCAACAAUCGUCUCUCGGGGCCGUUGCCACCGUCCAUCGGCAACCUUACUGGCCUCCAGAAGCUCCUGUUGAACCAGAACCAGUUCUCUGGCCGUAUACCGCCCGAGAUGGGGAGGCUGCAACAGCUGUCCAAGUUGGAUUUCAGCGGCAACCGGUUUUCCGGCCCGAUAGCGCCCGAAAUCAGCCGGUGCAAGCUUCUAACUUUUGUGGACCUCAGCAGGAACGAGCUCUCCGGUGAGCUCCCACCGGAGAUUGCCGGAAUGCGGAUCUUGAACUACCUGAACUUAUCAAGGAACCAACUCGAAGGGAGCAUUCCGGCUUCCAUCGCCACGAUGCAGAGCCUCACGGCGGUCGAUUUCUCGUACAAUAAUCUCUCCGGCCUCGUCCCUGGUACCGGCCAGUUCAGUUACUUUAACGCGAGCUCGUUCGUCGGCAAUCCCGAGCUCUGCGGGCCGUACCUCGGCCCCUGUAGCUCCGUGACCAAUGGCGACGGCUCCACUCAUGCAAGGGGGUCACUCCCGGCCUCCUCAAAGCUGUUGUUGGUUAUCGGCCUCCUCAUCUGUUCCGUUGCCUUCGCCAUGGCCGCCAUCAUCAAAGCGCGAUCUCUGAAAAAGGCAAGCGAUGCCCGAGCGUGGAAGCUCACUGCAUUCCAGCGUCUCGACUUCACCUGCGACGACGUCUUGGACUGCCUGAAGGAGGAGAACAUCAUCGGAAAAGGCGGGGCCGGCAUCGUGUACAAGGGCAUCAUGCCCAACGGCGAACGAGUCGCUGUUAAGCGGCUCCCGGCGAUGAGCCACGGCACGUCGCAUGACCAUGGAUUCUCGGCCGAGAUACAGACUCUGGGAAGGAUUCGGCAUCGCCACAUUGUCAGGCUACUGGGUUUCUGCUCGAACCACGAGACCAAUCUCUUGGUCUACGAGUACAUGCCCAACGGGAGCCUCGGGGAGGUCCUUCACGGUAAGAAGGGUGGCCAUUUGCUCUGGGACACCCGGUACAAGAUUGCGGUGGAGGCGGCGAAGGGUCUCUGCUAUCUUCACCAUGACUGUUCGCCGCUGAUCCUGCACCGGGAUGUCAAGUCGAACAACAUCCUGCUUGAUUCGAACUUCGAAGCCCACGUCGCGGACUUCGGGCUCGCCAAGUUCUUGCAGGACUCCGGUACCUCCGAGUGCAUGUCGGCCAUCGCUGGCUCCUAUGGCUACAUUGCUCCAGGUACUUUCUGAACUCCUGUACCGCAUCCAAUAUUCUUAACUAUUUCUGAGUUCUGUUCUUAGAAUGUCUCCGAUUCAAAGUGACACGCUGCAUCAAACUGUAGUCCUGCAUGGGGAUUCCAUCGAUGAUCCCGUUAUGGGAGUCGAUAGGAAUCCCUGCACGGAAAAGGUUCAUUUAGGCAACCUCAAAUAGAUUCGUGUAGGCUCAGCAGAUGCUUUUUUGUUCGCGUGCUCUGCUUUCUCAUUCUAUUCGCAUUGGAUGAUGCAUUCCAAGCAAGUACCCGGUCGCCCGGCCUCAUUAUGAUAGUAAAGGCCCUUUCCAAUCGCUUCAGGUUAUGAAUCAACCUUGGGAUGUAGAAUACCCUAUUCUUUUCUGAGAACUGAAGCAACAUUGCUUCAGUGAUUGGACUACUUACUGGUGGGUCGUUCUUUCUUUUCUCCUCCUCUAAUUACCUGAGCCACUGUUGACUUUCUUACUUGGUACCACAGAAUAUGCAUACACGCUGAAGGUGGACGAGAAAAGCGAUGUGUAUAGCUUCGGGGUGGUGCUGCUGGAGCUGGUGACAGGCAGGAAGCCGGUGGGCGAGUUCGGGGAGGGCGUCGACAUCGUGCAAUGGGUUAGAAGGAUGACGGGAUGCAACAAGGAAGGAGUACUCGAGAUUGUGGACCCCCGGCUUCCCACGGUUCCCCUGGACGAGGUCAUGCAUGUCUUCUACGUCGCCAUGCUGUGCGUGGAGGAACAGAGCGUGGAACGCCCGACGAUGAGGGAGGUCGUCCAGAUACUGACGGAUCUCCCAAACCCAGCUCGUAAACAGGGAGAAGACCGUGAGGCAGCCACCAAGGAGCAGCAGCAAGCAGCAGAGAAGCCGCCACCACCUGAUCUCCUCAGUAUUUGAAAUGCCCGGGUGGUUCCGAAAAGUUUCUGCUGGUCCUGCAAAUUUUGAGUGCAUCUGCAUCUGCAUCUGCAUCGUCUUCUUGGUCUGGUGCUGCCAGUGUGUUAGGUGAACUCUGUUGUACAGCUGCUAGAGUGGUGGGGCUUAGGUCACUGGUUAAUUUGGCUUCAGCUCUUGUUUUUGUUUGUGAUCUUCACAUGCCGUUGCAGCUGCUGGUGCUUUAAAUGUGUAGAAGAGCUCCGGUCCUCUUUUGCUUGUUAAUGGAAAUUAGUAGGGAACGAAGGGUAAACUAAGUAUAUGAUCAGAGCCGGACAAUGUUCUUUGAAGCCUUUAAUGGAGUGAGAGUGUGCUCUUUAUAUUAGAAGGAUGAGUUCCACCGACGGAUCGUAUGAGGUUUAGAAAUCCUAUCAAAUCCGACCAUUUUUCGACAUCGUAUGCAAGAAUGUAAUACUGGUAACUAUGCAAACGUAACCGGUUGCGUGUGAUCUUCAUCUUCCACGUGCCAUGCUACAUGCAUGAAGAUGUCAUAUCGAAUGCUUCAAACACAGUACAGUGCUCUGCAACCAGAAGAAUCGCCGGUUCACAUGUCACACGUAUGAUGGAGGGGGUGAGUGCUUCCCGUGUCUUGUGCACCACUGCCUUGUCACUUCAUGCACCUCUCUUCCGCAACGUAAUCAACAAGCAAGACGAAACAACUCUCUCUUCGUUCAUCUUUUCUGCCUCAAGCUUUUUGUUCUCUACCGCGCAGAGUCACCGCAGAAGCGUUCGUGCUACGAUCUUCGUGGCAGUCGGUCUACUGAUACCCUGCUGCACUUUCUCUGUAGCGUGCGAGAGAAAACCUGCAGGCCUUCAUGGCUUUAAAAGGAGAACAGGAUCUCACGUACAGUCUAAUAUGGUGAGCUCCCGGGAGUUUAGGGAUCCGCUUCCUCUCGGUCGACGACUGCCCUGUUCUUGGUACCCUGAUGGGCUUAAUUUUCUGUUCAAAUAAGAAACAUCAUUUUUACUGUCUUUUUUAAAUAAUUUUUUUUUUCUUUUAUGACUAACUUGGGUACAAAGAGUACGUGGAUAAACUAGAAGCAAACAGUGCCAAGGGCGUUCUUAAUGGGUCGAUCCUCGUUCCAAACCCUUGAAGCCCGGUAUUCAUUCCCGGAAUUAAGGGACUUGUUCUUGUUCGAAUUGUUUAUAUCAUAUCAUCUUGCUACGGAUCGUUGACGGUGGUCCAAAAGGAGAAGAGAAGAAGGAAAGCACACUGGAAAAUGCAUUAUGGUCCUGCGAUCUCUCUGCAUGCACUUGCAACUCCCCACGUGCAUGUACUUGGCGCAGGCAACGUAAGCAGCUUCAGCGGCUUACCGUAAAUGCUGUAAGCAGUGUCAGUCUGCUUACAGACACCGAAAACAAUUUGGACAAUGACGCAUCGCAAUUACACUCAGAGAACGCACAAUCCAACCAGAUAGUGUCAUUUACUAGUGUCGCUCGAUCCUGAUCCGAAUAUGCGCGAUUAUCCUGCAAGGUCCUUCGGAGACGAGGCGAGAGAGUAUUUGAAUGGGGACGGCCGACGGCAGUUUUGAGAUGCCUCCAAACUGCUGUGAUUUGUCCGGAGGUGAGUUUGAUCUUUUCGAUAUCCUACGUUCGUAGGUUACCGUCAAAAGAUUUUCGAUGUAAUUCUUUCUAUGUUUAGAUUAAUAUUUUUUAUGUAAUUUAUCUAAUCUCGUUUGAACAUCAGGGAUCAAUUUUUAUAUCUAUGAAGUCGAUGGGAUGGGACGAUAGAGACUACACAUAUAUCUUUAUUUAAUACAUUUAUAUGGAUAAUCAUUUAUUGUAAUCUCUAUAGAUUGGUUCGUACAAUCUCUUCCGAUGUAAAUCGACUCGUAUGAUCUUUUAUGAUACGAUACCGAGUCAUAUGAAUCCUUAUAAUACUAUACUAUACCGAGAAUGUUCGAUAAAAUAUCGCUCGUUGGAUCAUAAUCAUUAUUCACAUUAGGUAGAUAGGUAGAUGUUUCGUUAUUUUUCACAUCAGCUCCUCGAUUGUUAUCAACUGACAUAUUAUAAUUAAUAAUAAAAUAUACCCUAUCGACUAGCAAGAUGAAGUGCCCGGUAUUCUCCUACAUUAUUGUGCUGUAGAACUGUACGAAGGAAGAGACGAAGAUGAGUAACUUGUCCUGAUCCUAACAGAGACACCAGCACAACCAUCUGCGAGAUUUGCUACGUAAGCCGUAAGAUACUGCAGGAAGAAAGGAUUGAGGGGCCUUGAUCUGUAGGAGUACUGCAUGCAUUUAUGAGUUGACGUGUGAGUUGGUGUCUACUCGUAGGGCAUCAUUAUAUAUGGAGACCACAGUCUCCGUCCCUGUCCUCAUUCACCUUCUAGUCUUCGCUGUCCAGGCUCUCUGCUAGGUUGCCGGAUCGAUACAAGAUCGACGGCAACAGUGGAUACCGCACGCGAUCAGCAAUCCGUGCCGUUCUCAUGAACAGUCUCGCCCACCACAUCAGCCUUGCUCCGAAGGCAACGAGAGGGGCUCUUGUCAGCGUAUCGCACUCGGCCACGCUUGAUUUAUUAGGUGGAGAAAAGUGAAUUUGCUUUGUCGAAUUUUAAGCGUAAAAUACUUCUAAUAAGAAUCUUUUUGACGAGAAGUCAUUCAUAGCUCGAAAAAAAAGGAAUAAACAUCUAUAUUUAUUUAUUUAUUUACAUGCAGAUAGAUAUACUUGUAAAGUACCUUUACAGUACAUGAUUGAGAUUAAAAAGUUAAACGUAUGACAAUUGUAAUUGAUGUUUGGUGAAAGCCUGCGGAAAGCCGAAAACAAAGCCUUCAACAAGUAUAAUUAUGAGGCCUUCCAGUAUUCAACUAUCGUCGGUGUUAGAAAGUGCACGUGAACCUCUUUCCAUCAAUCUACUUUAUGAUGGCACAAGGAAUAAACUUUCCGCGCCCUCGUCCUAUCUUCGCAUAAAGCUCGAAGCAAAGAGGAGAGACAGCAUGUUUGUCAUGAUUCAAGAAGCAGGAUUUCUUCGUUCCAAGUGACGAGUGCUUUUGGUUUGACCCAUUCGAUCCCCGUUACUUGAUGCUAUACUUCAAAGAAGAGAAGAAGAUCCAGUGUUAUCGAUGACUAUGGUUAAACAACAAUGGUAGAGAGGGGCCUUCAAACCUCAGAAGAUUAAACCUCCUUUGGCACUCGAAGACAUUCUUGCUGACUCGGUUGCUCAUGUUCUUUGUUUCGGUUCGUAGGCCCCUAUAAAGCGGAAGCCCAUUCGCAGGAACCUAGACAAAGAGGAGACGGCAGUAUCUUGGGGCAGACGAGGCAUGUGAGUCAGGAGGACACAAUGGAAGAGACAGCAUCUGGCUGAUGCACUCCCCACCCCUUCCCAUGUCCUGAGAUGUGUUAAAAGACUCGAGGACAGAGAAGAGGAAUGGGCUCGCAUUCAACAGCUACCGAGAACCAGAGGAGGUGUGGCGAUAUGGACUCCAGACUGUGAUUGCUGUCACAUUCUGCGUCAACUUUUCUUUUGGUGAAUUGUCCUUCAAUCAUUCAAGCAGAGACCCAUUCAAGCUUUGAGCUCUCGUUUUGAUCGACCCUUCAGCCCCUGCCACUGCAAGAGAGAGAGGAGGAAAGCACUGCGUGUUUGUCGCCGACCUGAUUCCUGUGCAUGAAGAGGACAAAUAGAACAAACAUUCCAUGGCUGAUACAGUGAUGCAUCCAAAACCUUUCCUCGCUUCAUCGCAUUGGCAAUCUCCGUCUACUUUAGUCGAUUCUAACCAUUCCCAUUCCCAUUCGAUGCUCAAAUCCCACGUUGCUCCCCAGAUGCUUACAAGAAGACACCGACUCAUUUCCUGUUAAUAGAUUCCUAACCCCAUCCGUAUACUAACUAUAUUGCCUCAUAGGCUACAGAGAAUAGAAAACAAAGAUUGUGCCAUCUACUCUCUUUGGAUCAAUAAAUGAGACACUUGCGAGAACUGAUGAGCGAGCAUUAGAAAGAGAAGUACAUCAGAUGGAGUUGGUGUUGCCAUGUGAAUUCACAUGUCCUCUACUGAAAAAGACUUAGAAUUUGAAACACCUUGGUGUUACAUCACUGUCCAUAUCCAAGUCAUUCUUGAGACAGGGUUGGCUCUUACCAAUCGACCAUUUCCCAAGUUUGAGAUUGAGAAGAUGUAGCAGUAAAUGAUUCAGAAUCCAAGAACAGAUAUCGACAGGUCGGCGCGGGAGGCUUUCACUUUGUGUUACGUUUGCCUCUGCGAAAGGCCUUAGAGUAGGAAAGACGGGCACCAGCAAAGCAAAGAUUCCAAGAAGAGGAGCAGCGCAGCGCUCCUUGCCAAGGACCAGACUCCAAGUAGCUCGUUCCCACGUUGAAGUACUACUACGCCACUGAUAUCAUCAGGGAGGAGCAUCCGAGAGUCUGAUUCGUAAGGUUAUCAACUUUUUUUUUUGGUUUUUUCUGGGAGUCAUACUUGAACUUUCUCCCUCCCAUUCCAGCCAAAGACUUGGAGUCAGAUCAAACUUUUCUAAUUGAUGGCUCUCGUCCUAAUGCUUUGAGGCAGUGAAAAGUGGUUAACAUCUUAAAGAGUAGCACUUUAAAUGCCCACCAACAAAACCUCAUCUUCCUUCUCCGGUAGGCUGCAUUGGUUAUGGAAAAUAUAUUGCUCGACUGUCAAGGCCAAUACUGGGUUUUGAGUACUUUGAGACCAAAGACUAGGAGAGCAGACCAUGCUUACCUGUCCCUGCGGACAACCACUAGAGAAAGCAAUGUCAGGACACCAUGAUGAACGAUGAUCAGAACACUGGGAAUCAACAUUUAUUCUCGGGAAAGAAGAGACCUUGAUAUAUCUAUGAGCCACAGCUGUCGACGAUGAAAUGUAAGCGGAAGUACCAAAUCAGUCUCUCUGUCCAGGCCUUGACUAUCAAACGAGAUGAUUCUUCAGCUCAUGAGUCUGCCUUUGCCAUGAAGAUCCAUCAGCUUUCAGUUUAAUGACAGUGUUGUUUGAAAAUUAUUCGUUAUCUAAAUAGUUAUCAUAUUUUAAAUAAUUAUAAAUAAGUAUUAAGAAAUGAUCUAGAAAUUAUAGAGUAGUUCCUAUACCUAACUCAUGGGUGGUGAAAUGAUGUAGUUACCACUAAAUCCUAUAAAUAUAGUUCUUGAAGCAAGAUAAGAAGUAUUCACUUAGAAUAUCUUGGAAGUAUUCUAUGUCUUUCCUCUUGUUUAAAUACUAUAUCGAUUUUCUUGAUCGAAAUGAUUCUUUUUAAUUGCAUCGUAGUAUUCUGUUUUUAUCAUUUUCUUGCUCGAUCCUCAAUAUUUAUGGUAUCAGAGCUCAAUUUCAAUCUGAACUGGGCAUUAUGACUUUCAAUGAUAAUUUAAUAUCUCAACCCCUUAUUCACAUCUUCUCGGAUAAAUAUGCUAUGAAUUUUGGAGUAUCAAGAUGAAGACUCUAUUCAAGUCUCAAGAUUUUUUGGACUUAAUAGAGAAUAGAUAUACGGAUCCAAAUGAAGAAAUAAGGCUGAGGGAGAAUAGAAAAAAUGACUUAGACAUUAUUCAUCAUUCAACAAGUUGUACAUGAGAUAAUCUUAUCAAGAAUUACAGUAACGACAACCUCAAAACAAGCUUGGUGGAUAUUUCAAAAUGAAUUUAAAGGCUCAUCAAGGGUGAUUACAGUAAAACUUCAAACCCUUCGUUGUGAGUUUGAAAUUUUGUUCAUGAAAAGUAAUAAAUUGGUGCAAAAAUUAUUUUCUCAAGUGACUGAAAUUGUUAGUCAAAUGAAAUCUUACGGUGAGCAUCUUCCUGAUCAUAUAAUUAUUGUCAAAGUUUUAAGAAGUUUAACUCCGAAAUUUAAUCAUAUUGUUGCCACAAUUGAGGAGUCAAAAGAUUUAACUACAUUUUUAUUUGAUGAACAAAUGGGUUCCUUGUAAGCACAUGAAGCAAGGUUGAAUAUGUCACUUGAAAAAAGUGAAAAAAAAAAUAUUUCAAGGAGAGUCUUCUACUUCAAAAGAAGACAAAAAAUCAACAAGAAGAGAACGUGACAUAGGAGGAUUUUGUGGUAGAAGAAAUAGAAGAGAAAGAGGAAGAUGAUACUUUGAUGGAUAUGAUGAACAAAAAUAAUCAAAUUAUGAUAAAAAAAAUUAUAAUAGUGGAAUUCAAUGUCACUAUUGUAAAAAGUUUGGUCAACUGAUUGUUGGAAAAUAGAAAAGCAAACAAGCUAUGUGGAGGAAAAUGAAGAAAAUAGUAAGUUGUUUAUGACUCAUUCACAAGUUAAUGAUAUCUCAAAUGAUAUUUGGUUUUUGGAUAGUGGAUGUUCUAAUCAUAUGUCAAACAUAAAAUCAAUGUUUAAAGAUAUUGAUGAAACUCAUAAGUUGAAAGUUAGACUUCGAGAUAACAAGUAAAUCCAAAUGAAAGGAAAAUGAACAAUUGAGAUGAAACAAAUCAAGGGAAGGUAAAAUACCUUGAUAAUGUUUUCUUUGUUCAUAGUUUAUCGCAUAACUAGUUGAUUGUUGGCCAAUUGAUUGAUAUAUGAUAGAUAUUCAAUUAUUUUUUAUGAUAGUUCAUGCACUAUUAAAGAUAAAAAAUCUGGUUUGAUUACGAUAAAUGUUUGCAUGACACAAAACAAGAUGUUUCCACUUGAUAUUUCAAAUAUUGAAAAUCAUGUUCUUGUCGCAACUCAAAAGAACAAGUCUAAUUUAUGGUAUUUAAGAUAUGGACACCUUAACAUUAAGAGUUUAAGGUUAUUAAAUAAAAAAAAAUAAUUUUUAAAUUAUCCAAAAUUAAUACACUUGAUGUAUAUUAAUGAUGCAUUUAUGGCAAAUAAAAUAAAAAAUCAUUUCCUAUUAGAAAAGCAUAGAGAGCAUUUAAUUGUCUUGAAUUUAUUCAUGCUGACUUAUGUGGACCUAUGAAUACAAAAUCAUUUAGUGGAAGUCAAUAUUUUAUAUUGUUUACUGAUAAUUAUAGUUAUAUGAGUUAAGUAUAAUUUUUAGAGCUAAAAUAUAAAAUAUUUGAUAAUUUUAAAAAAUUCAAGGCACUUGUAGAACGGUAAAGUGGUAGAUGCAUAAAGACACUUCGGACAGAUAGAGAUGAUGAAUUUUUAUCUAAUGAGUUUAAUUCUUUUUGUGAAGAAAAUGAUAUUCAUAGAGAAUUGAUAGCACCAUAUACACCGCAGCAAAAUGGUGUAGCUAAACAUAAGAAUCGAACUGUCGUUGAAAUGACAAGAAGUUUGCUUAAAGGAAAAUACCUUCCAAAUCAGUUUUGGGUAGAAGCAGUUAUAACAGCAGUUUAUUUAUUGAAUAUUUCACCAACAAAGGUUGUUAUGAAUCAAACUCCUUUUGAGGCUUAGUAUGGUAUAAAACCAAGUGUAAGUCAUCUAAGAAUUAUUUGUUGUAAUGCUUAUGCUUUAGUGAAUUCACAAAAUCAUCACAAGCUUGAUGAAAAAUCUAAAAAAAUACAUCUUAAUUGGUUAUUCAUUACAAUCCAAAGCAUAUCAAUUAUAUAAUCCUAUUAGUGGCAAAGUUAUUAUUAACAUAAAUGUUAUGUUUGAUGAAAGAGCUAGUUGGAAUUGGGAGACCAAUGAAAGUGGAAAACAAAUUCAGAUUCCAACAGAAUUAGAUACUCUACAGAAUCAAGUGACAUAUCAUGUUCCAACAAGUUCAUUGUCAACCUCACCUAGUAGCAAUUCAAGUUUUAAUUCCUCAAAUGAAACCCCUCCAGGAAAAUUCAUAUCACUAACAGACAUUUAUAACUCAAUAUUUUCUUUGUUUAUUUCAGAUCUUAUAACUUUUGAUGAAGCAGUUGAAAAAGAGGGAUGACGAAAAACAUUGAAUGAGAAAAUCAAAUCAAUUGAGAAAAAUGAAACUUAAGAACUAAUGAAUCUACUAAAAGAAAAGAAAGCUAUUGGAUUAAAAUGGGUGUUCAAAACAAAGUUUAAUGCAGAUGGAAGUAUCCAAAUGCAUAAGGCUCGACUUGUAGUAAAAGGAUAUUCAUAAUAAUAAGGUAUUGAUUUUGAUGAUAUUUUUUCUCCAAUUGCUGGAUUUAAAACCAUGAGAACCUUUUUAGCUUUAACUGCUCACUUGAGUUGGCAUGUUUAUCAAUUUGAUGUGAAAUCUAUGUUUUAAAUAAAGAUUUAUGCGAAGAUAUUUUUGUUACUGUACUAUUUUUGGUUAAAGGACAUGAAGAAAAG
rnacentral:lncRNA from 1 species